UACUUCAGAUCAUUACAAAUGGGGCCCAGUCAAGGUGAAAGUCAAAAGCAUUGGUGCUACUGUAGAUGCCAACAGACUACCAGCAAACACAAUGUUUGCAGGACUUCUACAACGAGGAUAAAGUGACAUAGUCCAGGACCAGAGGUCAACAGUUUAGCGAUGGCGCUACAACACGCUACAGCAGGUCCGUUUGACAAGAAACACUUCUGUUACAGACACUUUUCUUACUUUGUUAAAGCGGUUUACCUGUCCAGCAGAAAGGUUACAGGGUCACCAAGAUCCCCAAGCGUCCCCCAUUGUUUAUGUUGACCCGGCUUUUUAGCUCUUGUCCGGUCUACCUCCGUUUUAAGCGCCCGUUAUUCCUCCAGAGUCUCCGGUAUUUACUUUGUUUUCUUGCUUGUGUCGGCAGUCGUGGCCAAAGGAGGAUUCAGACAAUUUUCCGAACUUUCUGGUUGGUUUCUACUGUCCGAUAUUGUAGCACGCUAACUUUGUUUGGGCUCCUGAACGACACGGGGGAGCAGCGUCUGCCUCACAACCAAUCAGGUCGGGGAGGUGGAGAACAGCUUUGUUUACAUUUAGAAAGAGCGGACCGCUCAAAAAAUGUUAAAAUGUUGACGACACAGACAUAACAAAACACAGAGAUAUCGUUAUAUUCCCAAAUGUCAUCCAUAACUAAUAACUAUUGACUGAUAUUAAAAACUUUUUUGUAUAUACACCACAAAAAAAGAUGCUUUUUUAACAGAUUCCUUCCUACCCCACCUUUAAAACUUGAUAAAUAAUCAGACGGAUAUAAACUUUCAAAAACAGUCUCUAAAUAAAAGUGCAGACACCUUCUCUUCAUCAUCUAAGUCCAGAUCAUCUCCAGUCAAGCCCGAGUCGAGUCCUCCAACACUGGCAUGGAUCACUGCAGCUCCCACACUGCCAACACACCCUGUUCUGCCCUCAAUCACCCCAAAUGUAAAAUGACAACAGAAAGAAUUAUCCACUCCCUGCUGCAAAAAGAUUUAAGCCUCUGGCAAAGAUCGUUUUUUUUUUUAUCCUAAGAGAUAAGAGAAACCAGAUCUUGUAAAGUAUCCUGAGCAGCAGCAGCAGGAGGUCAGUUCUCCAAGUCAAAGACAGUUUACAACCCUCCAAUCUGAAGUAGGACACUUCUUCUUCUUCUUCUUCAUAAUAAUAAUAAUAAGCCGCGUUCUGAAAAUAAACUCAUCGUCUGAUGCAGCGAGCAUGAUAUACUUCCCUCUCAUCAAAACAACCCCAUCUGUGAGAAGCAGCUGAUUGAUUUGCAUUUCCAUAAUUACUUUCAUAAUGAAUAUUAUGUUUUACCCAUUUACAUGCCGCCGUGUUUGCUUUUAUUUCAUUAUGAGAGAAGCCAAAAUUGAAAGAUGGCACUCUUUCACUCUCACGGCCCACAACAAUUAGUGAGCAGGAUUUGGUUUUCCAAACCUGAGGACUGUAAUGAGCUUCUCUUCGUUUAUCUACAGUAUCCAGUCAAACUCGGUUUCAUUACAGCCUGUUAUUAUGUGUUCAGAAGACCGUCGGUUCAGGACUUUUUUUAUUACCAAAACUCUGAUUUUAAUGGACAUAGUGAAAAACAACAUAUUUAAUAGUUAAAUUUUGUUUUAAUAAAUAUGUGUUUGUUUUAAAUUUGAUGAUAACAUCGUGCUUAAAAAAAAGUAGGUCUGUUGUGUCUGGACUUUUCUGCGACUGUUUUUAAACAUGCAGGAUACGGUUAAGUUUUGUCUUUGUGCAAAAAUUCAAGGUCGUCCCUUAAAACAAUUAAAAAAAAACAUUACACGGAUGGCAGCGUACUGUCUAUGGAAGUUAUUUUGUGCCAUCUGAUUUUGAAUUUGAAUUUCUAAAGCUGAAUUUUUUUUUGCAUCAAAAUCAGACUUUGAAUUUCGAAAUUAUUGAAUUUCAAGCACACAUUUUUAUUUCUGACACUUAUUUUUUUCACAAUGAUGAAAUAAAUUCAGUGUAAAAAAUCAGUUUCUCAAGAGAUUUGUUUAGUAAGAAUUCAACUUUUAAAAAGAAGUGUGUAAAUUCAAAGUCUGAUUUUGAUGCAAAAAAAACUCAGCUUUAGAAAUUCAAAUUCAAAAUCAGAUGGCACAGAUUUACUUCCAUAACUGUCUGUUGCUACAAAACCUGCGUUUACCUUUCAGCCAUACUGGUGCCUUACUGUCAGCCAUGGGCCCCUAACUGGUCACAGGUGGUUCCAAACUUGCGUCAGUCCUUUACCGUUCAGAGUCCAGGCCUUGGCGUCCAGAUUUCCAAUAAGGAUACAACAUAAAGAAAAAAAAUACUCUAGUAUAAAAUGCCUUUACUUCAAUGCUGUGUUUAUGCAGACCUGAAAAGCAAACUUGGACGCCUUUUGACAUCUAGCCUUUAUCAGGAAGUAAAGUAAACAGAUGCUAGGUUGUGAUUGGUCCUUUUAAAGGGUAAUUCUCCAAUAGGAAACUGCCACUUGGCCCUAGAGGUUUGACCUAUAUCCUGUGACAACUACAAAACCCUCCAGUAGAUGGUGCUAUUCAGGUCACUAAAAGCUUCGACAGAGUUUUUAUCUAAAAAAAAAAAAGCAGAACUGUGAUAUGUUCUCACUCAUUUUCUCUGUUUUGAAUUAUUUUUGGGAUAAAACUCUGUUGAAGCUUCUUUUGACCUGCACCACCUACUGGCAGGUUUUGUAGUUGUCAUCAGAUUUAGGUCAAACCUCCCUGCCCUGUACAUGGAUGGCCAAGGCUUCAGAGGAUGAAGAGCCCUUACCUCGAUAGAGUUUGUCUUUUCGAUUUGGAUAUUUCUGUCUGUUCGACUGCCUGCCUGUGUACCGAACCCUUUUUGAUUAAACUGAACUUUAAACUGAACUUCUGGGUCCAAAUCCUGGUUCACUGUUACAUGUUAUAUCUAUAUCUUUUAGUCUAUGUGCAGAACAGGCUCUUUUACACAGAUUUACUUUUUCCAGUAUGCUUUGCUGUAUGGUUGACUCUACUCUGCACCCAGAGGUAAUAACCAUCAUUUUAGAUAAUAAGUAUGAACCGUUUAAGUGUGAGGUAAAAGGCACCGGUCUGUAGAAGUAUACAGAAAACACUCUUACUCUACUUAAGUGUAUUUUUUAUCCUAUGUGUGAUUUGUUGACAUUUCUAUUUGACUUCGACGUAGCACCAAAGUUUCUUUUCAGUUCCACAACUUCUUAACACAUGCAGUAAUGACAGUUUGCUGUUUAAGCAAUUAAAGUUCUCAUAACUCGGAAAUACCUUGGUUGAAAUGGGACGACAAAAUUUGAUUUAUAAAGCCGCCACUUUUAAUAUUUUCAUUUAUUUUUCUCUCCUUUGUUUAUUGUGAAAAGUUCCUCAGGGGAAAUUAAAAGUUAGUUUGACUUUAAGUUGUACAGGAGUUUUAAUUAACACUUCAAAUUUUAGACGUUUAUUCCUCCCUCCACUCGCAGGUGACAGAGCCGACAAUAACACCAAACACUCACUGAUAGCAGGAGGAUGAUUACAUGAAUUAGAUAUGACAGAAUUUCAACUGUGUGAUAAAACUGGAUUGAACCGGAUUGGGCAAACCGGAUAUACCGAUCUUAAUUCUGAAACGUGUCCAUGUAAACACUUAUUCCCAUCGUGACUCUCUAACCUGACUCCGUCUUCACUCUUUAGCCUUUGGUUUAUUUACUGAGGACAGUACAGGAGGUCAGUGUUGCCAACCUAGCAGCUUUCUGAAGUUUAAAAUCUGAUUACACUUUGGUGCAUUUAUACACACAUCAUGAUUGGAUUAUUUAAUUUUGCUAGGGUGACCAUAUUCUGAACCCCCAAAAAGAGGACACGACUAUGCGGGGGGGCGGAGUCAUGGAGUUGUGUGUAGUUAAUUUUGAGAGUUUUUUAGGUCAGGUUGAGUGUUUUUCACGUGUUUCUAACUCAGUAAGUCCAUGCGACAGAAACUCGAAACUUCCAUACGAAACCCUGGACAUUUAACGGAUUUUAAAAACUCCCCCAGACAAGGUCGGACAGCCCCUAAAAAACAGGACAAUGUUCAGGUAAAAGAGGACUGUAGUCACCCUAGAUUUUGCACCCAUAUAAACAGUGGAUUCUACUAUGGAGUACUGGGGCCACAUUAAGAAAAGAAAAAAUGACUUACAAGAAUGAAGUCAUAAUAAAAUAAUUACUUACGUGAAUAAAGCUGUAAAAAAAGUAAUUGCACGAAUUAAAAAAAAAAAAAGUGAAUUUCCCAGUUUGGGAUCAAUAAACUAUAUCUAUCUAUCUAUAUCUAAAGUCUUAAUAAAGUCAUUACUUACAAGAAUAAAUUCGUAAUAAAAUAAUAACUCACGAGAAUAAAGUCGUAACAAAGUCAUUAGUUACAAGAAUAAAGUUGUAAUAAAAUAAUUACUUACAAGAAUAAAGUCGUAAUAAAGUAAUUACUUAAAAAAUAAAGUCGUAACAAAGUAAUUACUUAAGAGAAUAAACUUGUAAUAAAAUCAUUUCUUAUGAGAAUAAAGUAGCUAUAAAGUAAUUCUCAUAAGUAAUGAUUUUCUUAGGACUUUAUUCUCGUAAGUAAUUCCGAGGUCUUCCAAGGUUUUCUCUUCUUUAUGUGGUCCUGAUGCUCCACCGUAGGAUUUAGAUUUUCCGAUCCCUCAAAUUUUUAAUGCCCGUGUAAACAUGGCGACUGACGGCGUUGUUUGUAACCAGGUGAUAUCUAACGGGGUUCAGAGUUACUGUGAGUUUUUGGGAUCUCUCUUUUGUCUGGUUUAAUUAUGAGCAUAACUUCAUUCGAGCUGGGGUAACUUUGGAGAGGCUCGAAAGGGUAACGUCGUUUCCAAAUAUCACAGCGGAAAAAUAAAACCGUUCACUUCCUUUUAUUCAUUAGCUCCGUAUGAUUGGUCGCCUUGGUAACAUUUUAAAGAUUUCCAAGUCAGAGCAACAUUUUUACUCUUGUUGUUAAAAAGAUUUGGGCAAAUGGCACAAAAUGUCUCUGAAAUAAACUGCACACUCAUGCUUCUAAUACGAGUACACUCUAUUCAUGACUUUAAUUGUACUGUCACAGCCAGGAACAAAGUGUAGCUGUGUGUGGGAUGAAGACGCCGCCCCUUCCUGAAAGGGUCUUUAUAGUACAGAGGGAUCUGAGAGUCCAAUUGAGCUUAAGGUUGAAAGAGUUCAGCUGAUAUUGACUUUAAACUCUCCACUCCACCCUCACAAGUACAGAAAGUCCCUGCUUUCUGACUCUGCAGCAGUUUUUCCUCAUAUUCUGAUAUUACACUCACAGUAUAUGGGAGCCGCACAGACUCCUAUCCCUCUUUACUCCCUCCUCUCUCUCUCUCUUUCUCUCUCCCUCGAGGAUAAAAAGGGUGAGACCAGCAUCCUCCGUAUAACUCUUUGGUGUUUACAUUGUGAUUUCAGUUGCUUCUCAUUUUUAUUUCACAGAGCUGGUUUAUGGCAGUCUUGUUUGAGCCGCGUAUUAAAGUGUCAAGAGAGGAAUAAGCUUUGGUUUCGAGCGGGCUGACAUUUUUAGAGCCGCACUGCAGAAUCCAUAUCCACCUUUAAAAGCAAUUUUUCUGCACAGCGGGCCACUUUUCAGAAAAGAAAAUUAGAUGGGACUUUGUGCGUCAGCUGCUUAUGACUUAUUAGCAGUGACAGAGAUGGAAUUGAAUUGGAUGUAUAAUUGGAUGGAUAAUUGUUCACAGUUACGCACAAUGUGCCCACCUGACAGGAACACCUUGGCGUCCUGUAUUAGAUAUUUUAAAUCCACGGAGAUCAAAGCUCAAUUAUCUCAGCUCAUGAGCUCGCUCUUAUUUAACACUCAGAACAGCUUCUCUUUUUCUGCUUUUUCAUUUUAUCCUCAUGCUCUUGUUCCACAUAAAAAAAAGUUGAAGGUAACAAGGUCUGGACCGGCUUUGCACCACCGUUGGUACUGUGACCCUGAAGGAGAGCCACCUCAAAGUUCAGAGCACCAUAUUUCUGAAAGUGUGUUUGAAAUUUAAAGCUGCUAUAGGGAACUUUUGGUUUGUGUUGAAAUUAGUGCCCCUUGUGGACAAAGUGAUCCCUAAAGGGGCACUCACGCCAAAAAUGGGUAAAACCAUCUGCUCGCUUAAUUCGCGCGAAUCUAGAUGCAUGAAUGAAUCGUAUUUACUCGCUUCAUUCACACGUCAACAGUAAUUUCAAUGGUAAUCCCUAGAUAGAUGGAUAGACAAAGGUUUUUUUACAAUUUACCAGGUAAUCCGACCUCCUCACUCACCUGCCUCUGGGUGAGCUCCUUUUUAUUCCAGUUUCGGUAAUUGAAAGAAAAGGUAUCACACACCAACACGAUCAGUUUGUCUUCCAUUUUAGCUGCCAGUGAACAACCGUCCAUUUUCAUACGUCACCUGGCAACCUUUGUGCUGAUUAGUUAUCAUGACACAAAUAUCCGCUCAAGUUGAGUCACUUGUAGCUCUUGCCCCAUGCGUCAUUCACACCGCAAGAGUAGCAGGAGCGUCUAAUCGCAUCUUUGCAUUGAUUUAACCUGUAAUUCAUUCACGCGAAUGAUUUUACUCGCGCUUUCAUGGUUCUAUGACAAAAAGGCUCCUUUUUUCAGUGAUCUGGUUUAGCACCUGCCCCCUUGAACACUGAGGCAUCAGUAUGUUUGAUCUGUAUUUCUAUUCUUAAAGUUGUUUCUUAGAACAUUUUUGCUUUUUUAAGAAAGGAAAGCUAAAGAGUCAGGAAAUUUAAGAGAGUGAGGGAAGUCAUACAGCAAAGGACUGAGAUCGAGAAUCGAACCAACAUCCAAUGUGUCCGGGACUACAGCCUCUAUAUAUGGGUCGAUUGGUGCCUCCAAGUUCAGCUGUAUUUUCUCAUACAUGUUUUUGAUAGUCACUGAUCCUUUUAUAUUGAGAUAUCUUUAAAUGUUGACAAGAAUGUACAUAAUUUAUAUUCUCCAUCAAGUCCUCCAUAACUUUACACCAAUAAAAAGACCACGACUGGAUUGAACAUUGGUUCUUACCUUGAUAUUUUUGUUUGAUGGGGAUAAAGUUAUCGAAAAUAUUGCAAUGAAAAUAAUGUCCUGACCUCUGAAACUAUAGCUCAUUUUCAGGAAGUCAAACAUAAACUUAAGGCACAGGAAACAUGUAUACCACUUCAAACACACCUAAUAACUGGGACAUCACGUCCACCGCUCAUGGCUGUAUCUCUUCCUCCAACUAUUGACCACUGAUUCUCCCAUUUAGACCCACAAGCUUAAUCAAAUAGACAGUUUGGGUGAUAGUGUGUUAAAUAAAGUCACUUCUUUGGAGUGAUCAGACUGUGUCCUCUUUCGUAUUUCCUCAUCUGAACUUUAUGUAGGGCAUACCCAGCAUCCUGUUAUUGAUAGAGAGACUUAAACCAAGAAUCAGGUCAAGUGCUGCUUUUGUGAAAAAUCUUUCACAACAGCUCUGUUCCCCGAGAACAUUUGUGUUGCUUUAAAGCUCCUGUGAGGAGUUUUUAGAUAGCUGUGAAACUGACUGAGAUUAAUACUGAUUCCUCAAUAUGACCUAGAAAAGCAAACAAGACCAUCAGUAAGUAGAGGGACUCUAUCUACUGAGCGCAGGAACUUUUAAUGUGUGUUGGUGCAGGCGCUGAGCAGUGCCACAGGACAGUGAUUUAUAACACGCAGCAGGAAAAAACGUUUUAUAAUGGUAUGAAGGGACAGCAAAUGACACUUCAACCUGAUGUCGUGAUGCAAGAGUCAAUCAGCUGUGAGGUUUUCUGACCACAAUGGAAGCAACAAUUGGACCUCUCCAACAAACCAAGAAGAAAAAGAAGUAAAAAAAGAAGUAGAAGUAGAAGAGAAAGAAGUAGAAGAGGAAGGAAAAGUAGAAGUAAAAUAAGAAGUAGAAGUAAAAAAAAGAAGUAAAAGAGAAAGAAGAAGAAGAAAAGGAGGAGGAGGAAAAAGAAGUAAAAGAAAUAGAGAAGAAAAAGAAAAGGAAAGGAGUAGAAGGAGAAGAAGAAGUAGAUGUAAAUGUAGAAGUUGAAGUAGAAGAAAAACAAGAAGAAGAAACAGAAGAAGUAGAAGAAAAAGAAGAACUAGAAGUAGAAGAGAAGAAAAAGUAGAAGUAAAAAAGAAGUAGAAGGAAAAUAAUUAGAAUAAGAAGUAGAUAUAAAAGAAGUAGAUGUAAACAUAGAAGAUGUUGAAGUUGAAGUAGAAGAAGAAACAAAAGAACUAGAAGUAGACGAAGAAGUAAAUGUAAAAGUAGAAGUUGAACUUGAAGAACUAGAGGGAGAAGUAGAUGUAAAAAUAGAAGUUGAAGUAGAAGAAGAUGAAGUCAAAUUUAAAGAAGAAGAAGAAGAAGAAGAAAAAGAAGAAUUUACAGAAUAGAAUUCUGUCUUUGCAUGGUUGUACUUCAAACAUUGGUUUUCAGAAGUGAUUCUGUUAAAAACGUUUUCAACCCUAUAGACCAUCCUCUACCGCCCAGGCCAUCCGCCCUAAACUCGUCUUGUUAGCUUAGAUCUUCAGGAUCCUUGAAAAGAGGUUUUGGCUCAAGGGGUCAAUGAAGGUGGUAUGAAGGCAACUCCACAGACUGCUGUUUUCCCAGAAGGGACUUUUUUAUACCCUACCCUACCCUUUUUUAUUUACAGUCAAGUUUACAUGUAAAGGUUCCGUUAAAAACUUUACAAAAGGGCAUUUAUGCAUGCUUUCGUGCCGUUGGUAUCCCAGAAUUCUUUGCGUGCCGCUGCACAGCUUCACAUUUCAGGUGAGAGGCUGGACUCGCUUGGAGACGCAGCGCGUCUUCAAAGAAAAUACAAGACAUCCAAAACCAGCAGACAGUCAGCUCAGGCUGUAUGAGAGCAUGAUCUCUGAACUCACUAAAAUCUGUAAACCAAACAUUAUAGAUUUAGAGACGAACUGACAAUUGUCAAACGACAAUGAAAUAGGAAAAAAACCAGAAGACUCCUCUGUGUCCACAUGGCUCACAGGAUAAGGAGACUGCCUGGCACCUUUAAGGUUGUGGGUUCAAGCCUCACCUAACCCAAGUUGAGGUGAAUUUUAAAGCCUUGUGUCUUCAAACGACAGUGAAAUAGGAAAAAACCAGAAGACUCCUCUGUGUCCACAUGGCUCAGAGGAUAAGGAGACUGCCUGCCAGUCCUAAGGUCGUGGGUUCAAGCCUCACCUUACCCAAGUUGAGGUGAAUUUUAAAGCCUUGUGUCUUCAAACGACAGGAAAAAAGGGAAAAAAACAGAGGACUCCUCACUAUCCACAUGGCUCAGUCGAUAAGGAGACUGCCUGCCACUCUUAAGGUUGUGGGUUCAAGCCUCACCUUACCCAAGUUGAGGUGAAUUUUAAAGCCUUGUGUCUUCAAACGACAGUGAAAUAGGAAAAAACCAGAAGACUCCUCUGUGUCCACAUGGCUCAGAGGAUAAGGCUUGAGCCCACUGACCCGUGUGGACACACGCGACAACCAUAAUUUUUUUCAUAUAUCACUGUACUUUGUAGACUCUAGACCGUCAAAAUUCACCAAGAAGUGGCCAAGGUAAGACUCGAACCUAUGACCUCAGGAGCCACAGUCAGUGUUCUUAUCCCCUGAGCCACUUGCACACACAGGAUUAUACCAUAUUUUUCCUCUUUCACUUUCCUGUCUAGACACUAGACUUCAAAAUUCACCUUAUCCCAAAAAUGGCUCGAACACACCACCUCAUAGUAGGGUCUGUUAACUUGAAAAAAUGGCCAAAUUGUUAUGCGGUGGAUAAAAGCACCAAAUUUGGUACACACAUUCUUCAGGGUGUAUCUCAUCAUCUUAGAAGGGGUGCCCAAAAAUGCAUGAGUGAAAAUGGCUCAAAUGGAGGUUUAGAAGUUUACAAGUUUUUUUAAAAAUAGAUUUUCAUUUUAGCGUCACUUGAAAUAAAUUGCAAUUGAAAGUUGGAGCUUGUGUUUGUUUUUAUUUUUAAAAAAAAGCUGCUGAUGUUAACUCCCUAAUCUUCCAAAAACAUGCCUAUUAUUCGCUCCCACUGUAGUCCGUAAUGGACUGGCCUGAGGUCUCGCUACAAACAAGCGGCUGCUGGAAGAGAGUAGGUGAGUUGUGUUUAGUCUCUUUGCUAAAGAAAUGAGUCAAAGUUAAAAAGAUGUUUGGUGUCUAGUACUAUGGUUGUGACCCUAUAUGUCCUGUUGAUGAAGUUAGGUGCUGUUCUGAGCAUUUUUUGUGGCUAUAGAGUGGCGUUUUGGUUGAGGUUGGUUUAUGGCUCCUCAGACCGCUGUGUAUUGCUAUCUUGCGGUCGUUACUAAAGUUGGUAUGACUAGAGAAGCAAGCGGUCGGCAACAUUCAUCUCUGGAGGGGGGUCUAACUCGCUGUUACAUUGUGUUUGACCAUAACUUAAUUUUGCGUCGGAAUAUCCCUUUAAGCGAGAAGCCUGGAGUCGAUGUUUUGAUACCAACACAAACAAGUGAGGUUGAGGUCGACUGAACCUGCCUUUUUUUUAAUGUUAGGACUCGAUUGCACAAGCAAAAGCGAGUACACAGAGUUCAUGGCUGCUUAUUUAUAUUCUCAGAGCUCUCUUAAACAUCAAACACAAACACACCAAAUCUCCCAGGAGCUUGUGAUGCAUUUAUUCAGCUUCCUCUUCUUAUCCCUUGUUUUAAUACCCAUUAUUUUUUAUCUUUUUUUAAGCAUUCCAGUCUUUUGUUUCCUUUAAAACACUUCUUGACAAAUCUUUUUAAAGUGCUGUGGGAAUGGGUUUGACCUAAUUUGACUCGACUGCCGGGUAUGUUGCUCCUCUGGCUGCGUUUAGCUCAGCAAAUUAGAGCGAGACAGUUCAAUGAAGGAUAAUAGUGCAUAGAACAAACCGGGUUGGGAAAUGAAAUUUAGUUUUUUGGUGGAAAUGGUUUCUCGUCAAUCUGGAUGAGACGGAUUCAGAGAGGCACAAAACCCAGGAGCCGAGUUUUGAGCUGAAGUGUCGGUUUGUUCUGCGGACAGUGUUGUGCACGGAUGACCUGAGGCUUCUAACACCUGUAAGCAGCUUUAAAAAGAAAAGAAACGGGGAAAAAGUGAAAAAUAUUGAGGAUGGAUCAUAUCCAGCUCUGAUAGAUUGGUCACGCUUGAAGUGGGAUCCUGUUUCCUUCAGGCCAAGUUGAAAUGGGUCGACUUUUUACAGAUAAAGGCUCAGAUUUUUAGCUAAGAGUCUGAGUCGUAGGAUCGGCUGUUACGCGCUGAAUAAACUCCCUAAAGUCCCAACAUCCAACCAACAAUUUAAGUCAUUUUCAGCAAAGGGAACUCGUAAUAGAUAUGCUCUCUAUGGACCAUCUCGGCGUACUGAUGACUAGUAAUCUCCAGCCUUCAGUAUCAAACCCUCUCUUUCUCUCUUUCUCUGUGUACAGUAAGAUGAAAGUCUACCCAGGGGCUGCUGUAGUGUAAAAUUGGUUUGAUUCACUGCGUCUUUCAGAGUAAAUUGAACAAAAGCAGCUUUUCUUUCUACUUUAAAUCGACUGUAAGGACAUUCGGGUUGUCUAUCUGAGAGAGAUGUAAAGACACAGCAGUAUGUCUUAUCUCUUUGUUGAACAGCGAAUACAAUAGUUGUGUUUUCUUACAGAAAAAUCAAAUUUUUAAUUCACAUACAAGGUUGUGAAAAAUGUUGAUGAAAACAGAAUCAGGUGUCAAAAUUUGACGUCAGCAGCGUUAAGACAGGUCAUUAAAGUAUUGUUUCCAAACAUAGAUAUAGAUAUAUAGAUAUACAGUAUAUUUAACAGGAUUGUCACAUGAAAAGAGCGUUCAAGAGAAGUCGGGUCUCUCAGGAGCAAAAAUCUGAGUUGGAUCACCACUUUGGUAGAAGACAAAAGGGUUCAGCAAGUCCAGGAUAAUGUUCCUCUGUAAAAAAAUGUCAAAUUUAUCAUCCUUAAAGGUCGUUAUCAUUGAUCCUCAUGCUGUCAGAGAGCACCUCAGGCAUGACUCUGUAGUGGAAGUCUCUGCAUAGACUUACGGGAAUAGGAUGAAUGACGCCAUUUGGGUGGUAUAAGAAGGAACCAGCGGAUGGCCGGGGGCUGGUGGAGGACGUCCGAAAUAAGGCUCGGCACAAGAGAUCCUUAUUCAGGACCAAUUUUGAAGCGUUGAAAAAGGUUGAAAAACACUGGAUUAAAGAAAAUGGCUGGUGUCCGGGAUCCAGUAUCUGGUGGCGCACCGUGUUAGACCACUGACCCCGUGGUCUGGUUGCAAACCGUCUCCUGGUUCGAAACCCGCUCGGCACAAGAGAGAUCCUUAUUCAGGACCAAUUUUAAAGUCCAGGAGCCAAAGUUCCAAGAUAAAAACACGCAGAGCUCGUCCCCAACUGUGGAUGGUGUCCGGUGGCGCAGCGUGUUAGACAACUGACACCCUACUGUGAGCCAUGUGGUCUGGUUGCAAACCAUCUCCUGGUUCGAAACCCGCUAUGCACAAGAGAGAUCUCGUUCGAGCCGUACCUUACCCUGUUGAAGUUGAAUUUUAAAGUCUAGUGUCAACAAAGGACAGUGAAAGAGGAAAUAAACAGAAUCCUCCUCUGUGUCCAUGUGGCUCAGGGGAUAAGAACACUGACCGAGACUCUUGAGGUUGUGGGUUCGAGCCUUACCUUACCCUGGUGAAGCUCAAUUUUAAAGUCUUCUGUCAACAAAGGAUAGUGAAAGAGGAAAUAAACAGAAUCCUCCUCUGUGUCCAUGUGGCUCAGGGGAUAAGAACACUGACCGAAACUCUUGAGGUUGUGGGUUCGAGCCUUACCUUACCCUGGUGAAGCUGAAUUUUAAAGUCUUCUGUCAACAAAGGACAGUGAAAGAGGAAAUAAACAGAAUCCUCCUCUGUGUCCACGUGGCUCAGGGGAUAAGAACAGUGACUCAGACUCCUGAGGUUGUGGGUUCAAACCUUAGUCAGGACCAAUUUUAAGGUCCAAAAGCCAAGGUUCCAGGAUAAAAGCAUGCAGAGCUCUUCCCCAACUGUGGAUGGUAUCCGGUGGCGCAGCGUGGUAGACAACGAGCACCCUAAUGUGAGCCAUAAACUGGCUCCUGGUUCGAAACCCGCUCGGCACAAGUGAGAUCCUGAAUGAAAAUCCUGGGGAUCCAGGCCCAGAACUGUGUGGUUACCCCCCCGUGUUUCCAGAGCGAUAAAAUGGAGAGGUUAUGCAACAGGAAGUCAGAGCAGGCUGAAGUUUAGACUAAGGAUGGGUAGAAGGGUAGAUGGGGGGGAUUGUAGAGGAUGGUCUUAAAUUGUAAAGAAUUUAACGGAACCUUUACACGUGAACUUGACUGUAAAUAAAAAAAGGGUAGGGUAGGGUAGGGUAGGGUAGGGUAGGGUAGGGUAGGGUAUAAAAAAGUCCCUUCUGGGAAAACAGCAGUCUGUGGAGUUGCCUUCCCACCACCUUCAUUGACCCUUGAGCCAAAACCUCUUUUCAAGGAUCCUGAGGAUCUAAGCUAACAAGACGAGUUUAUAAAUGAAAGACACACAAACACACUGUGACUCUGUUUGGUUUUAUUUAAUUCAGAUUCAGGUCUAGUUGAAUUUUUUUAUUCAAAGGAGGUUUGAUCAGCAUAUUUGGAGGAGUACUUCAUGUUGUUAUUCAUCAAAUUGACUCUAAUGUCUUUAAUGUAUGCACAAGGCGAUUCUUCAUGUGAAAUAAUACCGGGCCAACAAAAAGGGGUAGUUAAAUUUCACCCGCUCUGAUGUCUGUAUACAUUUAAUUAUUAAAAUAAAGACAGAGUUCAGACACUUUCGUGGCAGAGUGACUCACUGUCUAACACGACUGUCCGAUAUUUUCACAUUUCACAUCAAACACACUCCCUUCAAGAGGAGCACCAACUGCUUCCUGCCUAAUAAUUCCAUAUUUCGAGCUCAGAGCCAGAUGUCUGAGAGAGAGGCAGGAGAAGUCAUGCACGGACAGAUCUGCACAGACGUUUAGCGGAGGGGAAUAAUUACUGUUCCGUUUUAAUGAUUUUAUGUUUGCACAGAAGUUUGGACAUCUCUAAAUCUUCAUCUCAGUUUGCAGAAACCACUGUUGUUGUGUUUAUUAUAUAUCUUUUUAUUAUCAUUUUGAGCUUCGUGAGUUUUUUCGCCAUCAUGAAUCCGGCUACUGUGGGGAGACAUGCUCUGAAUACACUGCUCGCCAUGUAAAUCAAUCAUUCCUGCAGGGAGAGAAACCAGCUCAGCACCAGUGCAGAAGCAGAAUACUGAACUGUACGCGGCUCUCCUACCAGACUCUAAACUCGGGUAUUUCUUUAUACACUGUUGACCCUGAGCAUGCAUUAUUUUCUACCUAAAAACUUCUCAAAUGACCUCAGGAUUUUCUUGAAUUUUUAACAGAUUCUGAUAUCCAGGAUCAAAUUCUUCUGACACGUAAAAGCUGUUGCGCUCGGCUGUGAAUCCCACACAGCAAGUUCUCUGUAUGCAGAUACUGUAUUACUCUUCCAUUUUGCACUAAUUGCAAGGACACCAGGUUUGUUAAAUGAGUUCUUCUCACUGAAAACAGUUACAGUAUUUGAAACUUUAAAAACUUCUGAGGAGAAAAUACUUCAGAGGCAGCAGUCAGAGAGAAAAAAAUCUGCCUCAGGACAUAAUUAAAAGUGUUGUGUACAAAAAAAAAAGUAGGAAGAAUUUUCUUGAAGCAUUCUGGAUCGUAAAAAAGUGAAACGCCAAAAUAUCGGAUGUACAUUACACUGAUUUUAUGUUCGUUCUGGCAUUAUCAGACCUUUUUUUAGAGAGGUUCUGAGAAACCAACACAUGAUACUCUGCAAUAACAUAAAUGUAAAUGAAAAUGUUCUUUAUUUAUACAGACCUUUACAACAACCCUUUCGGUGAACCAAAGGGCUUCACAAUGUAUAGUAAAUAAAAAUGAUAAAAACUAUGAAAAGCAAUAACAACAACAAAAGCACUAGAAAAGGAGUCAAGCCAGGAAAUAAUGCUGAAGAGUCGUGGCUGCUCUGGCACUGACUGAGGGACACAGAGUGACUUAAAUACUGGCUGGCUAAUCAGCAGUGAGGAGCUGCAGCUUGUCACUCACAGGUGUGGGGAAUCAGUGCUGAUGAUGAGGUGUGGCAGGGAGGUGAGUGAGAGUCAGCCUGAGAAACACAGCAGAGUGUGACAACAGUAUAAUUAGAACGAAUACAAUAUGAUGCAGCAGUAGAUUAGAUUAGAUUAGAUUAGAUUAGAAAGACUUUUUUAAUCAUUUUGGGGAGGCUCCCUGAAAAAAGUUUAGGAUUAAAUUUAAUUAAUUUAGUGAACUGGAUGAACUAGAUUGUUACGCUAAACUGGUAAUACCAAUCCAAGGCAUUAAAGUGAACAGGCAUUUAGCAUUCAUUUAGGAGUAUCUUUUUUUUUGGUCAAUUCACUUUAUUAACACCAAAAGGUUUUCAUUCUUGGUGUAUGAGCCAUUUUAUCUCUAUUAUCCUUUGGAUUUUGUUUUGUUACUUGCACAAUCACCACAAGGGGCUCUUCAGGUGAAUGGGCAAGUAAAUUCUACGAAGAGACACAGGUGAAGCAGUGAUCUGGGGAACAAGAAGAGCACACGGUUUUUACUGUUGGACAUAUCUGUCUUUUUUGGUUUGUUUUUCAUUUAAUCAAUAAAUGACAAAAAUGUAACUCAACAACAACUUUGGAUUGGACAUCGGAUUGUACGAGAAGCGCGUCAAAAAUGCCUCACUCCCGCACCCAGACAGUGACUAAACAUCAGGUUAGCAUAGUCACUACAACUGGGUUUGGUCACAUUAUAUAAUUUUUUUGUUGUAGGUAGGACACCGGCAGCAGGGCAGCAGUUCCCCACCAAACGCCUCUGCAGACUGCAGGCAGCUCUGGGCCGUUAAACUCUCAGCACCAGGUGAGUCUGAUUGUCACUCAGUGAUUUCACCUGGACAGCUAUGGGGAGACAAAAAACACACAAACACACAGCUGUAACAAAAGUCUUUUUUGUGUUCAAGUUUAAGAGGAGUCUGUUUAAUUAAAAUUCCUUAAAGUUUGUUUUUAAGUGACUUUUCUAAAUAGAAAUGUCAAAACUAGAAACUUUACACGAGUGGCGUCAUUUUUGUAAGACCUCCAGACUUCAGGUUAGAUCAGAGGUGCUUAUAACACAGACUCUUUUUCUCAUUGUGCUGCUUUUCUAAUAAGUGGAGAAAAAAAAACUCAAAUGUAUUUCGUGAUGAUUUCAUCACCGGGAAUGUUUUACUCUAACGUCGGUAAUGAACUUUGUCUCCCUCCUCCUUUUGUCUCUCUUCACAAACGAACAGGAAGCUGCUAUUCAGUCCAUUUAUUGGCAGUUGCUGCUUUUCAAUUUUACCAGCAACUGGGUGUAUGAGACCAUUUUUGUUCAUAAUUGGUUUUCAGUUAAUAGUUAAUGAGAUGCUGUUUUUGGUGAGGUGAACGCUGCGCUCUCUGGCCUUCAUAAUCGUCAGUGUGAGAAAUAUUAAGUGUCUCUUUUGUUGCAGUUAAAUAAAUAGAAACCUGGUUGCUUUUUGGACCACUGCAUUGUUAAGAAAUUACCUUUCCAUGCUUCUGUACCAAUCUGCGUGCACUUCUAUUAAAAUCAUGUCUUAAUCCCACCUUAAAACCUGACAUUAGUGUUUAAAUACAAACUGAAAUGUGUCGGGCAUUGCAGCGAACAAUGUGACUGUUUCAGGCUUUUUUCCCUGUGGGGAUUUAGUUACAGCUGGGUGAAGCUACUGCAUGAAUACUCACCGUUGCAUUUGGGAACACUGGAUUGUGUUUGUGGGGGUUAAAACUCAAGGGGAUCCUUGUUUUCCUCCAGGUUUCUCCAAGUUGGACCGCUGUAAUGCACAGAGGCUGCGAACACGGCCCACCAUCUGUGCAUGUCUGACUUCAAACCGUCGGUGCGAUGCAACAUAGUCCCGUGCAGUCGAGAUAGCAGCCCCGAGCCAACCAAAAGAGAAGUGAGGGUUGUUUUUGCAGAGGAAAUACUAAAUAUUGGCUGUGUGAGUGAUUCGCUGAGGUCUCUCGGCCGUACAGGGAGCCGACUGGAGUGCAUCUCUUCCUUUGAAAACAACAAUAAGAGCUCGAUGGCUUCUGGUGGACACUAACUGUGAGUGACAGAGACAACAGCGGGUCAUGCUUUCAGCGGGAACAUGGUUUCCAAUUGAAUGACAGUAUGACAAUGAAAUAGCCAGGUAGUGCUCGCUCUUGUCAAUAAAGCACAUCAACAAUUUUCACUCAUAAAAGACAAAGCAACCAAUUUGUGAGGAUGGGGUGACACCUGCAUAGAAAGCCAUCACCACCGAGAACAGAGAGAUUGACGGCUUUAAAGUCUGCACGGUUCGGACAAACGACAAGAAAACAUUACACGGUGUAGUCAUCGAUGAAAACAUUUAUUGUAGUUCCUACCCGUGAUAUUUCAUUUUGAAUUACCGGAGUGAACCAAGCAUCAAAUUCGCAGCUUUCGCUCCAAAAAUGUGACUUUACGUCUGUGAUACUGUGGUGCCUCUAAGGGGAAAUUCACCUUUUAAAAAGGUCACUUUUCACAAAGAAAUAAGACCCCACUGAACCAAACUCAUUGAUCGCCCCUCAUACAGAUUCAAGGAUCGGCUCAAGGACACUCCAGCUGAGACUCGGCUGUCAUGGGUGCUUGAAUCUGGGUCACCCGGGUGAAGGAUGGUCGCGCUAAUUCCAAGCAGGUUUUUCGUUGUAGCCUCACCAGUGUCCCUGUUUCUGUGUCAGUAGGUGUGAAAACACAGUUCAUUAAAAAACGUGUGCGGUAAAGGUUAACCAAAGAGGAGGGGGUUACUACUUUCAAAAGUUUUAAAGUGAUAACCACCAACCACAUGAACUUUUGAUGCUCACAAACAGGAUAAACAUCUCUGUCUCGACACUAAGGAUACAACAAUACGGUUUUUGGUUCAUGUUUACAUGAUCAGACCAAAACUGUUGAACAAAAUGUGAAAUCUCUGUGCUAACUAAAUGUAGAGGCCCUGUUGCUCCACAAAAACAACAUCUUCAGGUUAUAACUGGGUUAGCCUUGCUAGAUAAGUUAGCUAGGCUGACCAUAUUCUGAAUGGGGUCAUGCGCUAAAUUUUGAGGGUUUAUCGGAUCAGGUUGAGUGUUUUUUAUCUACGCCACACAAACUUAAAACUUCCAUACGAAACCUCAGACAUUUAUAGGAUUUUAUAAACUCAUGUCCGGGUAAAAGAGGACGUAAGGUCACCCUUAGUUAGCACAAACAUCUUGUCAGGUUUAGAUGAGCCAGUUUCAUGACACUGAUAACCAUUUUCCCAAACGUGACUGGCAGCACACCUUUCAAACUUUAACACGUAGAAGUUUUUCUACUUUCAGCCCUACUAAGUGUUUUUAAUGUUUCAUACUGAAUUAAGUGACUGAACAUAGUAUUAGUGAAUGACUAACAAGCUAACCAAAUAAAAGUCAGAUGUAGAGAGUUUUUUUGUCAAAUACAAUCAACCUAAAUAUGUGCGAUGCAAAACUAACAAAAGUAUGAGGUGUCAUUUUGGCCACAGGGGGCGCCAAAGUUGACUCAAAUCGAAAGCACCUCAACGAACCUUUACGUUGAUCUGUUGCACUAUUUUUACGGAAGGCUGGUAACCAUAGAAACUAACUGAGGCUAUUUGUUAAACAUAAUUUCAUGUCACAUUUACAGAGACAAUCUGAUUACGUGUCUCAUGCUUCAUCUUAUAAAACUCGAUAAACAUGUUUUUUUCUAAUGGCGUGAACUCACUUGACUGAACCAAAUGAAACGGCCACAUAUCCUCUUAAAGAUCACAACUAACCCAUUCUGAAGGUCCGGUCCGACUUCACAGCCCCUCUUUCUCUAUUCCAGACCAGCUUCAUCAAAAAAACAUUAACCUGUCAAGUUGUCUCCGGAGAACAAAGGACCUCUGGCUUCUUUUGGUCCGAGUCAUUCUUUUCCACCAUCAAAACCACCAUUAACAUUUUAAAUCACCCCUCUCAUCACAGCAGCAGGAACUCAAAGAGGGCUUUACUGAGAGUGAAACCCAUUCCAGCUUGAUGAGGUUUGGGAUAAAGUGCACAUUGGCUGUGAGAAAAGCCCGACUGCUUCCCUUUAAUGCAAAAAAUAUAAAUAAAAUACUGACACCCCCAAAUUCAUAUUCUGCAUUUCUCCGUACGAGCAGAGGAGACUGUUUGGAUGUGUGAAUUAGGAUUCUGAGCUGCACUGUUAAUGUGUGUGUGUCUGUGUGUUUAUCUUUGUGCACAAGCAGGAACAGUGGGUCUUUGUGAAGCCAGUGUGUAUCUUUAUCUCCUUUAUCACAGCCGAACAGGCCAUGAGCUGAGCUCCCUCUGCCAGAAACAGAUGCAACAUCUGUAUACUGUAUGUCAGCUCCCAUUCUGCUCCCACUUCAUUAUACAGCAAAUAGCAUUUGCAGCAUUUGACACUUCAGCAGCAUGCGCUAACCAUACGAUGAUAUACUGCAGAGCGGAGAGGAAGGAGGAGGAGACGCUGAUGGUAUUUCAUUACAUUUCAUGCUUGACUGUGGAAACUGGGAGGCUUAAAUCAAUCCGCAUGUCCGGCCAUCGGUGACCUAAAACCAAACUCUAACCCUCUGUCUUGGCCCUGCAUAUUUCUUACCCACUCCCCUCCGGACAUUUUAAUUAUGUUCCCGGCUUUCUCCUGCCACCUCUCAGGUCUAGACAUGCUGUGCGGCGUCUCCAGAGUCCACGCAGAAUGAGGCAGUGGGUCAUUUGUGACUGUUUAAUGAAAGUAGGGCAGGCUGUUUGAGAUGCCUUUGGGUUAAUGCCUUUGAGAAGUACCUGCAGACUGGAGUGAUUACCCAAAGGCUCAGCCUUGUUCCUAUAAUCAUGCUGAGCACUUAAGCAAGCUCCCGCACUGUUUUCAACGAGCAUGAUGUUGAAUUACGUUUGAGGUUUAUUGUCCUGAAAACAGCAAUCAUGAAACCAAUCAGUAAGCAUCUUGUGGCAACAAAAGGGGACACGGUGUCCAAGAUCUCCAAAAAACAAUGUCAAAUAUUGAUGCACCGGACUGCAAGAGAGUUUUCUGUGCGUGGUACAGUUUUAGCAACAAACCGUGUCCCUGUUGGUCGUCUUUCCCCCAAUUUCCACCACAUCCAGAACGGCUACAAAAAAGCUGUAUCUGCUGAUCGUAGCUGAUCGUAACCAUUCAAGUCAAUAUGUCAAUUUCCACUGGCUUCUUUCCGUUCCGCUGCAGAUCGCCAGAGUUUCUAUUUUAAAACAUACGGCUUCUUUUCAAAAUAAAACAUGAUGAUGCAGGUGGAUCGUAUUUCACACCAUGCAAACGGGCGGAGUCGAACAAGUGAAAGGUUUUUAGACGUCAUUUCACCCCGAUGACACCAUGGAUGAGGAGAUGCUGAUUCUAGAAGUCUAGAAGUAGAUUUCCUCCUCUGGAAGGACACAAUCUACUGCUUAUAUGGUUAGCCUAUGUGUCUGUCUUUAUAGAGACAACUUGUUAUCCUGCAAUUGCACGUGAAUCCAGGUUCUUGUUCUUGUAAGUUCUCGCAAUUCCUGCUGUCCAUAAUCCACCACGAAAUUUGCCUCUCCAUGGAUCCAGUAGGAAUUGGCGAACAGCAAAAAUUGGCACCGUUCCGGAGAAAAAGAAGUGACUUUGAGCUUUUUCAGUGAUUUCAUUGUGACUGAUGAAGAGGAGCAGGUUCAGGGGCGAGUGUGCCUCUGCAAACAAGGGAGAUUUGGCUUUGGCAGCAGUCUCCAGAUCAAAAUCUGGCGACUUUUUCUGGAGUUUAGAGACUCUAAAAUGAAAGCAGGUGUCGAUGUUACUCUUCUCAACGGAUAGCCGGUGUGCAUCAAAAACACAGACAAAUACAGACAACCUGAGGAUGACUCCCGCUUCUCCUCCUCUUCCUGAGAAAUUAUGCAAAUUAGGCGAUAACCUCAUCCAGCGACUGUUACAACAGCGAUUAGCGUUGGCAACACUGACUAUUUUCCUUUCUCUCUGAACAUAUUUCUUCCUUUUGUAUCUUGAAUCAGCGUUUUGCAUCUAAAAAAACUAUAAUAUAUGUUUUUUUCUGCAUGUUUGAGUUCCUUGCUCAUUUUUUCACCUACUCUCCCCUGUAUAAAUAUCUGCAUGAAGCACUAAAGGUCAGCAGGAUGUAUUGUCAGACUGUUUCCAGUCCCAGUCGCAGCUGAUUAUGCAACAAACUAUAUUCUGUAGAAAUGUUGCUGGACGUCUGCCAUGAACUGUUGCUCAGCAACUGUAACUCCAAUCGUCCUCCAGGUCUUAAUCCCAAAUGAGACCCGAGGUGUGAUGCACAGAAAUAUUUCACUGGUAAACUAUUACAUACUGCCAGGCUGUAUUUCUAAAGCCCCUGUGUGGCACAAAGUGAAGAAAUGCCACUUUAUUUAUUUUUUGGGGUGCAUUUUGCAAACGGUGCAGGUUUUUGAAAGAGAUGAUUCAACAAAAGUGGGUCGAUUACUGUUAACCGUGGUGAAAUAGGCACAUUCAUAAAACGAGUGAGGAAGAUCCAGCAGAUAGUUAAAAGCCUGAUCCAAGUCUUGAAAAGUAUGACUCAGUGAUAUCUUUAUACUAACCGUUACUGUGAAGGUGGACUCGACCCCUGACCUCCCUCCUUUGAGAAGACGCUUCUUCUUCUUCUUCUUCUUCUUCUUCUUCAGUCCUUACUUUUCUGCGCUGACACUAAGAGUGAUGAAUCCAGCCAUCAAGGCCUGACAGACGCUUUGUUCCUGUAGAUCACUUCUCAACUGAUCGAUACGCUUUGGGCUGACGGGCCUUCGCUGACUCUCCAUCCCCUCAAAGAAGGAAGGGAUCGGCUCAGAAGUCGAGAGGAACUCGUGCCGAUUAGUGAUGAAUGAAAGUAGAGGCCUAAUCACCUGACCUGAGAGUGAAGGGGUCAUGGGAUUGUUGUGCCAUAGGGGGCAAUUUGCUGGUAUGAUUUUUGGUCGUUUUGUCCCCUUGGAGGAUGAGGUCAAGGUAAAUCAAUAAACGGUUUUCAUGAGUGAUCUCUUUUAUCCUUUGGCCUUCAAGGACUUUAGAUUUUAGACUAAUCUUUUAAAACUGCUUUCUUCGUCUGGAUAUGCAGGAAUUAGGGCUGCACGAUUGAAAACUGAAAACUCGAUUUUCGAUUUUGAUUUUUUUUUUCAGAGACAAUUUCACUAAACUUCACAGGAGUCAUAGAAUGAGAUCUGCAGAUCGAUGUAUAUAAACACCCACAUCCCACGCCUCUCCCAUUAUCAAGUUAAGAACAGCUCAACACAUUGACUUUAUUUUAUUUUGAAAAUUGACUGGAUAUUUUACUCUGUAGCUACAUACAACUUCCGAUGCAUUUAAAUUGAUGCGCCAUGCUCCGGCGUCUGGCAAAUGAGAAGCGUUGAGUAUCUAAUCCGGCCGCCAAAGCUGAUCUGCAGCAAAGCCGGACGGCAGACGGAUUCUGAGGAAUCACUCAUAUUGAUCAUAAUGCUUGCAGAGUCGUUCCGUUACACUCGUUACACUGUGUGUCACAUGAUCGUUUCCAGAGAUGAAGAUAGACAUACACACGGAGAUGAAAUGGUUGUCAUUUGCAGAUUUUUUCAAUCUCCGACCCAUUUUCAAAAAGUACUGUUUACAGUUACCAGAUACGACAAAAAACUUUAGCGUUUCCUCCUGAAUCUGUUUCCGUGGUGACGGGUUGAUACCGCCUUCAGACAGACUUUGCAGCGGGGAGUGGUUUACUCUUCAUUUAAAACUGUGAAACUGAACCAAUUCAACACAACUGACUCGCUCUUUCCCUAUUUAGCCACAAAAUUAUCACCUUCUUUUGCGAACGCCAUGUUUGUUUACACUGGUGUGUGUGGGAACUGGGGAGGCGUGAGACGUGAUAGAGAGGAAAAUCGAUGAGAUGCAGCCCUAGCAGGAAUAUUCUAGAAAGAUUGAGGUUUCAUCCUUUUUAAAGAGUCAAUAUCAACUGGGACUGGAGGUGCAUCAACGCUGGACUUAAAGAUAUUUUGUCUUUCGAUCAUGACGUUUUCAUUCGCUUAAUUCCUCAAUCAUGUAUUUUAUCAAAUGUACUCCCUGAGAUAUGGAUCCAAAGCUCUCUCUAAUUUGAGAGGAAUAAUUUUCUUUAGGGAAACUUUCCGACGCCUUUGGUUAUGAUUUAUUUAUCGAGGCUGAAAAGAGUCGAAUUUUCACAUUUAAGACUAAAAUGACUGUAAUCAACUCGUCAAAUACCCGCCUCUUUAAUGUGCAGAGUAAAUCUCUUCAUAAACCCUCUAAAUACGAUAUAUAUAUAUAAUGAUAGGGGCAUGAAAGCAGUGUGUUUAAUGGUAGCUUAAAAGAUAAUGCCUCAUUAUAGACUGGCACUGUAAAUAAUAAACAAUGAGGAUUCUUGCACCUGUUGUCUCUGUUCGUAUGAAUCCCCUCUGCUCUCUCUCAAAGAAACACACAGUCCAUAUUUAUUCAUGGGGGAAAUCAGAUCCAGCUGGGGAGACACACAUCCAUCUCCCCGCUCCUCCUCGCUUCAAAUCCACCGUCCUCUUGGAUGAUAUUCCCUGGGAUCCCUGCUCAGAUUGCUGCCUGCCUGACUGGGAUGUCCUCUGAAGCAGCCCAAUAACGCUGCAAAUCCACGCUCCACGCCUUCCCCGAUACCGCCCUGAAGUGAAUACUGAGCCGCCUGCACGCUCUAAAUUUAUUCAUCACUGCUAUCUGAUAUAGAGUCCUAUUCAGGGUUUCAUAUGAUAACCCAGCUGAGGUUUCGCUCUCCAAACUGGUUUUUCUCUGGAUAUCCCAGCAUCUAUGAGGGUAUUUGGCGCACAGCUAAAUCAAGAUCAGCUGAGGGGGGGGAUGUGCUUUCACAGUAAGCUUCUUGCAGCAGGGGUCGAGGGUCAUUUGUGGCGGUAAGCCUAUGUUAUGGCCCACUCGCUGUGAAUAUUUCUCCACCGUCUCUGCUUCACCUUCCUCUUCAAUGACCUUUCCUUCUCAGAUAGUAACUUACUCCACAUCCUGCAGUCGCAUCUUUUCAGUUUCAUGUUGAAAUGAGGAAAAUGGAGGAAAACUGUCAACAAUGAGAAAGAUGGUCGAGCUUUCCAAGGUCCAUGAACAUAAAUUCAACCGAAGACUGUUGUAUGUCUACGCCUGUGCGUGGUAUGUGUGUCUCCUGUGAUUUUUUUCUUCCCGUGUCUUUCGUUGGAUUUUGGAUUUUUGGCUCUUUGGAUUAUGCCACGUUUUUUGUUUUUGGGAGAUUUUAUGUUGAACAUUCUAAGUGUUUGUUGCUUUUUAUUCAGUUCAUUUUUUUCAAAUAAAUCAUUUUAGUUCUGCACUUUGGUCCUUCCCCUUUUUGUUUUACCCUGAAGCAUGACAGCAAUCACACCAAGCACAAGUAAAAUCCCUCGCGUGAAGAAAUUACAAGUUAAGUCAAUGCAAAGAUGCAAUUAGACGCUUGUUCUACUCUUGCGGCGCAAAUUGGGCGAGUUAUUUGCAUGAAUUGAGCAGACGCAAAUUCGCGAGAACUGAAAAUAUCUAUCUAGAUAUCUAGAUAUUCAUGUCGCCAUAACCAAUCAGCAUGGUGAUGUACGAAAAUGAACCGAAAGAUGUUCACUGGUGUGAAAAUAUAAACACAGAUCCUUUUACUCACAGUGGACAGAUGAACAGGCGCUCUGCAGCUGGGAUAGAGCGCCUGUCCAUUGGUAUCCUGGAGGGAUAUCCUGGCGUCGACCCUCACCAACAGGUAGUCAAAUCAAAAAUACCGCUGGAAACGGCCGUCAUCCAGGCGCAGCUAUUGGAGAAGACCCAGACACUGCGAUGUCUACAUCUCCGACAGUUGUGGGCCUUCAAGGACAAAAACAAAGCAGCAAUCUGCUGAACGUGGUUCACUCCAACCAUCUUUGAAUUCAGAAACUGAGGUGUGAUCUCAUAACCCCUUUAACCUUAUAUGCAGUUGCAGCAGUGGUACAGUGUUUGAUAAACCCAAAAGGUGACCCUCUAUGUCUCAUUCUAACCCCUCAGACUGUUUAACCAUAACUUCACCUGCUAGUUUGUUGCCAUGGUUACAGUUUUCAUCCAGAAGCACCAGCAGUAAACGUACAUAUUGUCAUCAUUUAAGUCUAAAACGAAUCCCCCUUUCUUAACUCGACAGUCGUUUAAAACUGAAACAGUUUCCUGACAACAUCAACCUGUUGCCGCACAUCCAAAAGUCAUUAAAUAUGAAACAUUUGUCAGACAGACUUCUUGGAAAAAUGCGUCCAGAUGUUGUUUGUUUACAACCUCCAACUUUUGGUUGCUUCAUUUACAAAGUCGUACAAGACACGGCAUGCUUUUGCAGCACACCCGCCUGCGGAGGCAACAUGAUGAAUCCAGCUCAAGUGAUUCAUACGACAACAAAAUCAGUUUAGUUAUUUAAUUAAUAACCUUCCUCUUUACUUUAAGUUAAAGUAAAGGGGUAAAUGAGAAGUAUAGUUUUAGCAACACACUUGGGUUUGUUCUCCAAUGUUCCCCAAUUAUUCAUAGUCAAUGACAUGGCUCUGGCACCCCUCCAAAAUAAAAGCACCACUUUGCGGAGCUGCCAGUCAAACCCUCCCCCUGUAUCCCUGCGUCAUUUUUAGGUCAAUAAAUAAGCAAAUCAAACGACAACAAUAGCUCCAGGAUAUUCAUCAAGGUUGCAGUGAAAUGAAUCUGUAAUAUUUAAUGAUGAGAAAAAGAGAACAACAGAAAGCCUCGGCCUGCAGAGGUGAUGACAGGUGUCACUUUUUCUUUUUUACUCGCUCUAAUUAUGACAAAAUCAAGACUUUUUCACCUUCAGGUUAAUUGGGAGGCCAUCACUCAGCUUUGAGUGUUUAUUUCCAAACCUCGCUCUCUGCUAAAACCCGCCUCAGUAAAACUCAUCCUUCAUAAUUCAACCACUUUUGCAAGGGUGCAGUAUGUCACUCUGUUGGUUUACACUAAAAAUACACGUUAUCUUCGGUUUCUGGAGCGAAAAUCUGCACUCCUGACUCUUCAUUCUGCUGAGAGACGAGUACUGAGAGUAAGAUUGACAGUCGCUGUGUGUGAAAAUGAGAUCAGGCUCGUGUGAAGGACAAUUCCUCUGUCCCUUAAGUAAAAUAAAGUAACAGAUGGAAUAAACCUCGAGGGUUGCAGGUUUAACCACCUUAAAUGGUGCCGAAAAAAAAAAAAAGUCCUUGUUCCUCGAUUGUUUUCUGACUAAAUGAUAAGUGUCACUUUCAUCGUCUCUAUUACACUUUCAAAGACGAAGAGUUACGAGCGUUUUUCUGGAAGUUUACACAGCAGCUGUCGGUUAUAUCACCUUUUUUAUGGCUCUUUGUUCCCCCCUAACUUUGACGACAAAGAUGUGUGAUGAUAAAAGUUUCAAGCCUUCUCAAGUCCGGUUCACAUGUUUGGACUCAAUGCAAGAAGAGGACGUGUGAGUGAGGAUUCAAGAUAGGGAUGAAGUAAGAUGGUUCACUACAUGUGCUGCUGAGUUAUUUUGCCAUGUGUUUGGAUCACCUUUGCUGGUCGACUUCAAUCAGAGGUUGCUUGGGAGCUGCUGUAACCAUAGCAACACUCAUGAUAUACAGUCCAACACUUACAGCCAUAGUAAGGGGACAAGGAGAAGGGUUUUUCUACCCCAUCAUUGCCACCAAAAAUAGUGUAUUCACUUUUUAAUUUAUAACUUUUUAUUCUAUUUUAUGUUUUAUUUCUUUCUUUGUUUCUUUCUUUUUUCUUUACUUUUUAUUUUUCUAUAUUUUAUUGAUCUAUUAUUUUUAUUUAGUUAAUAAUUUUUAUUCAUUUAUUUAUUUUCAUUUAUUUAUUUUUUCUUUUCUUUUUCUUUAUUGUAUUAUUUUCUAUUUUUUAUUUAUUAGAAUUAUUAUUUAGUAUUUCUUUACAGUUUAUUAUCGUUUUUUAUUUAUUAAUUAUUUUAUUCAUUUGAAAAAAAAUAUUUUUUAAUUCAUUUUUCUUUCUUUUUUCUCUUUUUUAAAUUUCUCUUUUUUCUUUAUUUUUCUUUUCUUUUUCUUUAUUAUUCAUUAAUAUAAUUAGAUUAUAUUAUUUUCUUUUUAUUUCUUAUAAAAUUUAUUAAUUAUUUUUAAUGUAUUUAUUUUUUAUUUUCAUUUAUUUUUAUUUAUUUAUUUAUUUAUUUAUUUAAUAUUUUUCUUUAUUAUUUUUCUUUUUCUUUAUUUCUUCUUUAUUUUUUUUACAUAUUUGCUAUUUUUUAAUUUAUUAUAAUUAUUUUUUAUUAUUUAUUUACUUAUUUGUUUACUUUAUUAGGUUAAACUGAAACUUUUGACAUUUUUCAGAUAAAUCAAAACUGAAAGAUUCGUUUCUUCAAAGCUAAGUUCAGUUUCCAUCUAGAAUCAAAGGAUCUCAAUUUGAAAUCAUGUUAAAACAACAAUAAUGUUUGUUUCCUUCACAUACAGAGACCUUUACUUUUCGCUUUGUUUACUAUUUUUGUCUUUUUCAACCAGUUGAAGUCAAACAGAACGAUACAGUCUGACCACAGAGACAAUGAGUCUGAUUUCUGGUGGAAAAACAUUAAAGAUACGCUCAGAAACAGAAUAUUCAUUGCCUCUUGGUAGAGAAUCUCAUGUUGAAUCAGGAGCAGAAACAUCUGUUUUCACGCUGAAAAACAAAACACUGAUAUCAUAUUAAAAGCCAGAAGAGUGUGUUUCUGGUCAUUGGUAUGCAACUCUUCCAACCUUUUGUGCAACUAUCCAAUUAAAGUUGUAUGAAGAUUGUUGCUGCUGUGCUGCUCUCUCUCUCAGCUUUCUCUCAGUGGAGAUAGAAAAACCAGUCCAGGGCCUACUUUGAUUUCAUGAGCUGAGGUGUGUAAAGAAAGAAAAAGAAGAAAAAAAUCUUCUGAAGGAGAGUAAUUUGUUUUGUUUAGACGCCAUGUGCUGCAGGAAAAAUGAAUCAUAUGAAAAAUGUAUGGACCUUAGGUCUCUUCGAAUUACCUGCCAAAAUGUUUCAUGACUCAUAAUAUGCAAACAGCUGAAGGGGAGGGAUAUUCAGCAUAUGGUUGCUUCUUUGCAUAAACUCAAACAAUGCAAGAAAACAAACAUUUGUCCAUCACUCAGUCAAAAAAAAAUCAAGUCAUGUUUUAAUUUUUCCUCCUCUUGCAGGAUAUCUCCAAAAACCCUCCACACUCUUAUCUCUCCUCCAUCUCCCAUCAGUAUUCUGGCACUCAGCUGUGGUGCCAUCCACUUUGAGGGUUUCUGAUCUCCAGCACGUGCCCGUGCAUCUGUCAAUGAAGUGCUCAGUCUGCGUUACUCACGGUCCUCUGUGCUUAUUUCUACUUUCUCCAGAGUAAGCCCUUCUCUUUUAGGCUGGAGAAAUGAGAUUUAAACAGCAGAGAGCUCCAGGGUCACGGUGCAGAGCUGAACUCCUCCAUCAGACUCUGUCACAGAGAGAGAAACUGUCGAACUGAAAGGGAAAAUAACACAGAGAGAGGAGUCAGUUUCGAGUUGAAAGCCUGUGGAAAUAAGGGUUAAAGAGUAAAAUUGUGUUAGUGAAAUGAAAGUUUAGAGCCUCGUGAAGUGUCUCUCGAAAUGUGGCAUUAGAUAAAUCUCCAUAACCAUCAGAAUACCAUGAAAAAAAAGGGGAAUGUAAUACUGAAUAUGGCACAAUAUGAGUCAAGAGGAAACUACAUUUCUGCUUACAGGAAAAACUCAUAGUGGUUAGCUACUUAAAGACCCACUCUGAUGAAAAUCAUGUGUUUUUUGUUUUCUACAUGUUCAUAUGUUCAUUUUUCUGAAGCUACAAGACAUGUCAUGAGAAAACUAUCAUGUAAAAUUGCAUUUCUGAGUAUUUCUACAUUCAAAUCUCUGUGAAUCUCUUUCAAACCCAAAUGGCAGGCUCAGAAAGAGUGAGAUUUCCUAUGUCACAAAUCCAAGCUCCGCCCCCCAAGAGGCCACACUCGGAAAAGUAGAGAGGACAAUCGCGGAACAAGCGUGUGCAUUAGCUGAUUGCAAUACUUGUAAGAAAGCUAAUUAUGGUAUUAACUUACCUGAUUACCUGCUACUUCUUCUACACAGUCAAUGUUAGGCUACAAGCUAGCAUUAAGACGAGUGUGCAGAGCAGCACUGUCUCCGCCCACGACUCAGAGGUGAAUUGCUAAUGAUCUACUGGAGCUCUGCAGAAGAAAAGGCCUCUAAAAUGAAACAGGUAAUGUGACUUUGGCUAAAAACUUCAUAAUCACAGUUUAAAGACGACUGAGAACACUUUAAGUAGUUAAAAAAAAAAACAUUGGAGUGAUAAAUGAUAAACCUACUUAGCAGUUAGCAUACACAUGCAAUGUUGGCUAAAACUAGGGUAACCAUACGUCCUCUUUUACCUCCACAUGUCCUCUUUUUGGGGGGCUGUCUGGCCUUGUCUAGAGGGGUUAUUAAAACCUUCAAAUGUCCAGGUUUUGUUUAGCUCAUUACGAAUCCUGCAUGUUUUCGGGUUUAGAAACACGUAAAAAACUCAAAAUUAACUACGGCCGACUCCGUGACUCUGCCCCGCGUAGUCAUGUCCUCUUUUUGGGGAUUCAGAAUAUGGUCACUCUACCUAAACCCCACUUAAACGUUAACAUGGCUCUGGAUGUUGUCCAGAGAAAGAGAAACCUCUGAAGCUUGAAAAUAGACGACUGCAACAGUCAAUACUGCUAAUGCAUUCUGUAAACAGCUGCAUGGCUGCUGCACUUUCACCAUCAACAGCUUGCAUAAUAGAUGCACUAACACCACCAGAGUCAAUUCAAGGUCAUUAUAGAGUUAAAAGGACCUGACAUGACACCAUUAACCAGCUGUGUUGAAGCUCCUGGUUCUGGAUCAGACUGAACUUGUGAACAUUUGCAGCUCUCGAAAGCAAAUCAGACCACGUGCAAAAAGACUGACGUCUCCUAUAUUGUCCUUUUUCCCCCCACUGCAAAUAUUUACAGGAAGUAAAGCGUGUGAAAACAUGACUUAUGCAUGCACAGGGAGGAUCCUGCUCCCUCUCACCCUUUUAGGAUUUACAUUACCACCCAUACAGCAUCUACAUUUGGAUUAAAACUGUAUUUCAGAGUCUUUGGAGGCUUAUUACAUGUAAAUAAAAGCUUUAAUAAUUUAGCUAGCUGCUGCUGCGGCGGUUCCAGAGGGUUUAAUUCACUGAGACAAUACGCAUUGGCUGAAGGCCUGUGGUGCAUGAACAAAACUAUGAAGAGAUAAAAGAUGAAUCCUUUCAUUGUUUAUUAUUAAUGCAGAUUUCCACGCCAUAAGCUCUGCAAUCAUUUCAGAGUCUUCAAUCUAUGGUUGGCACAGGGGAGGGGAAAUAACGGUAUGAAGUGUAAAUACCUAAUCAUCUAGAGAGAGAUCUCUUUCUAGUCAUUUGGAAGACAGAUCAAUAUCUAAUCUCAUGGAGGGUGAUCAGGUUUAAUUUCACUGUGUUUCUUUUCUGCAAUAGUUUUGAGCGAGGUUUCACCGAACUUUCUUUUCUUUUCGACAGCCGGAGCGUGUUGUGGCCUUUUCUCGCUAAAAAGAGAAAAACAUCUGAGAGGGGAGACUCUUCUUUGAUGUCAAGUUGCCAGCUUUGACAUCCUCUCUCUUUUUUUUUUUUCUAUAAGCUGAUUCUCGAGGUUAUGCAGCCUGAGACCGAUCUGAUCUGCUCCCGAAGAUUCCUCUUAUUUCUCCGCGCUAAAGCAUAUCAACCUCGCCGAGUUUCCCCCAUAUCUCAUCGCAACACCUUGAUGUCAGUGAACUCCGCCGCCUUCCCUGCAGUUGUCUGCAAAAUUGUUUGCUGCAUCCCUUCGCCGGGUCAACAAGAAUGGGGCAGAGAAUAGAUGACUACCUCUACGUGCAGGAGAGAUUGGGAACUAAACCUCGUUAUGGUUCAUUUUGGAGGAUGACAGUGAUUAAAGCGUGCCGGGGACUGAACUCUGGUGAAUUCCAAUUCUAAACGGGCUUUUAGGAUGAGAUACUGCGCCAUUUAGGAGGCAGGCACAGGCAGGGCGUGCUGUACCGGUCCAAAGCAGUGCAGAUUGUAAGCAAUUACGUGGAUGAUAAUCUCUUACAUUAAUAAACAGGCUGCAUAAAUACAAGCCCUGAGAAUUGGCCGGGCAUCUUUAGCUACAGGCAAGCUGGAGGAGAUUUUCAUUAGCCUGCGCCUCAGCACUAAGGUGCUUCUAAAUAAGAAUAAUAACAGAAACACGGAACAAAUCGAAACACAAUUACCAAGUAUGCCUCGCUAUAAAUGUGAAUUAAACACGCUGGACUUCUCUAAACGCUUCUUUGAGCUCAUGCGGAUGAAUCUGAUGGUUUUAUUGAGGAGUUUUCGCUCUCCUAAAAUCUGUUAUUUCUAACGGUGGAUUCAAUUGGUCGGAAGAUUCCCCGCACUCGUCACAGGAAUCAGAUACGAGCGGCAAUCUCACAUUUAACCCACCGAGCAGAAAAUUUAUCAUUUCCACUGUCACCUUUAUUCCCCCGAGGGAAGCACAGUGUGAAUAUCCCCCUCAGCUGUUCUGUGGGGGAUUACAAAAGUAAACUGCAGCUUUACAGGGACAGAGGAGGUCACCUGGCAACCCUCCCCUCCUCCUCCUCCUCCUCCUCACUCUCCCAUGUAUCUCACCCUCCGUGCUAUCAGGUACUUCUUCAAUUCCCUCGGACUUCUCCUCCUCCCUCUCUCUCUCUCUCUAUCUCUCUCUCUCUCUCUCUCUCGCUUCAUCACUCUAUUGCACAAAUGCAUCCUGCCACUGAUGGUCUCACCUGGGACUGGAUUUGACCUCCUCCUCCUUGUCUCAGUGGGCAAGGACAGAGUCGAUACAGUGGGAACCAACAACACAACAUCUGUCCUACUUAGACCGCAGGAAACAUGCUCCUACAUACAGUCAUCUGGCGUGUGGAGUAAGACAAGGACUUCUUUAAUCAAAUGAUCAAAGUCAAGGUUGUUGAUCCUUUUACUGACAACACGACUGUCUGAGGAGGAGGAGUGUAUUUAUCCAGUUAGGAUGUGUUUGAGUUAGACUGUAAACUCCACAUAUUUAAUCUAAUCUAAUGAGGGGCGAGCACUAAAUAGGUGCAAGGACUUUAUUGGAAUUCCUAUGAUUUACUAAUAUUGUUGUUUUCUGCCAUUUGUCCCAAUUUGAAGAGUCUGAGCAUGCUCAGAAGUCCAGAAAAAUUGCCUGUUCAUGAAAAUGUGAAUUUGUCAAAUUAAUUGCAAGGAUAUCUUUCCAGUUCCCCAAAAAAUUCAGUCCCUCCCUGAUUUUUCUUACACAUAUCCUAGGGUAACCAUAUUCUCCAAAAAAGGACACCACUAUGUGGGGUGGAGUCCCACGCAAAAUUUUAGGCGUUUUUGGGUUGGGUUGAGUGUUUUUUUACACGCUUCUAACUCAGUUAGUCCACGCUACACAAACUUAAAACUUCCAUACAAAAACCCCGGACAUUUGAAGGAUUUUAUAAACCCCUGGACAAGGCCGGACAGCCCCCCAAAAAAGAGGACAUGUUCGGGUAAAAGAGGAUGUAUGGUCACUCUAAGUUAACAUCAGGUGAAAUGUCGAAAAAAAAGAAAAAACAAGAGAGUUGAAAAAAAAAUCCAUACAUUUUCUUCCCAUGCAGGAUUCAGGUAGAAAAGACCAGAAUUUAGAGAAGAUGAUGAGAUCCAGAACAUCAGAGGGCAUGGUCAUGGCAAGCCCUCAAAAUUACCGUAUUCUUCAGACUAUAAGGCACACUUAAAAUCCUUGAAUUUUCCCAAAAAUUGACAGUGUGCCUGAUAAUCCAGCGCGCUUUAUGUAUGAUUACUUGUUGAGCUUACUGACCGAUUUUAUGUGAUAUAAUGCGCUCAAAAAUCUGUCAAAGUGUGUAAAUACGACUUUGGUAAGCAACGAAGCUCAAUGGAUUUUCGAAGCAUUACGGUAUGCUGCGGCAUUACCUGAUCGGCCCCGUAACAGGACCCCUGAGCAGUCAUCUGGCAGCCUGGGCCCGAAGUAUGCGAGUAAGACCUGAACACUUUCAUGUGGUAGUAUUGUAUCUUAUUUAUAGUGCCCCCUAGUGGCAGGAGGAAACGCUCCCUCAUUAGUUAGAUUAGCAGCAACAUGUUUAUGCCUGAAUAUGCAAAACUUUAAGGUGACUUAUGGAGAUGUAACCCUUCAUGUUAAAGCUCGAAUCAUGAUUAAUUUUGAUCUAACGAUGAAAACAAUCAACAUUUAAACUGAGUGAAUGGAGUCUAAAUGAGGCAGCGGCUGAUUGGAGGUGUUUCUAAUGAUGUUGUUGAAAUAGUCCCGUCUGGUGUCUGUGCGGUCCACAGGGAGCAGUGUCGAUUCUAAGGUCUGACAGCAGCAGGAAGGAAGCACCUGAGGUUUCUCUUCUUCACACACCACAGGAGAAACAGUCUGUCACAGAGGGAGCUGCAGCGUGCCCAUCACAGUGUCCAGUGUCAAGGGUUCAUCCCAGGACGGGGUGGACUUUCUAACGAGCAGGGUUGUAGAACUUCAGAUUGAUCUUGACAAAAGUCAAAGUCUUACAAGACCACUUUCUGAAGGUCUUUGUCUCAGACAGUUCAGACUUAGAGUUUUGAGGUCACAGGAAGUUUCUCGAUUGAGGUUUUUGCAGCUUGAGAUAUGCGUAAAUUAGCAUGAUCAGGGAUGUAGGUGAAUGCCAAAUCUGAGCUUAGACUGCAUCCAUGUUUCAUACAGUCUGUAGGAUUUCAGCGUUAUCAAGCUGUCUUCUCCAAUAUGGCGACUGCAAUGUUUAAGCUUCGGGAACAAACUCUACACAGUCCAGUUGCCUGAUUUUAGGGUCAUCAAGAAAACCAUGACCUGGAUGAAUGAGAAUCUACAUGGACAUUCAGGAACCAAGAUAAUACCCGUGUGUUAUGCAACCUGUGGUCAUGACCUGGUAUUGGUUUGGGUGUUCUGGACAUCAAGACUAUUAACCAGCCUGUGAAGCCUUUUCCUGUUAACGAUCAAUAAGCUGCCAGACGAGAAAAAAAAACAGAUAAUGAACAGAAGCUAAUUUGGCCUCCAAGCUCCGAGUCUGAGCAGGAUUGGUUCAAACUGUGCUAUUUUUGCCGACAUUAAUAUGACUCAACAUAUACUAGAUAUGGUCCCUGGGACCAAAACCAAUAACUGCACAGAGUUCUGUUCGAGUCGGAGUAUUAUAUGCUUUUCAUAUAUCUGUGCGGCCGGGGCUCAGCGGUAAAGCUGGCGGUGAUUUAAUCAGAGGGUUUGCUGUCUGAUGCUGAGCUCCUGCUGUCCACAUGUUGGAGUAUCCUUGGGCAAGAAAGCUCCCAAAGGCACAGCCAUGAGGGUAUGAAUGUGUUUAUAUGCAAUUAGUUUGAUCCUGACGGGCAGAUCACCAUCUAACACAGCGGCAUCUGCCUUUAGUGAAUGAGAGUAUACGUGUGACGUGCUGUGUGUUCAUUUCUAUCCAACUUCACCACCAACGAAACGUUUUACUUUUGAGGUCCUUCCCUUUUUUCCAGCUCUAAGAGGUUGGUAUAUUUAUAAAAUCUGCAGCCUGACUCAAUAAAACAGACUCAAAAUUAAUAAUAGAACCAUCACCGACCUCUUCUCAAUGAAUUCAAUAGAUUUUUCCUCUCAGCAAAUUUCCUUAAGGGAAUAAAAAUAACCAUUUUACCCACAGUUUGUAGGGAUUUGUAGCAGAAGUCUUAUUUGCAAAGUAAUAAGCCGCAGAAAUAUUGUCCAUAAAUCUUAUUUUACAAGAACCGCUCGGCUACAGCAGAAAUCUCGCCGGCUCUACUUGAGAUUAAGAAGGUUUUGUGUGCUGGGAUGGAAGUCAGGAAGGGAAAAAAACAAAACAAAAAAAUGAAAUAACAAGAAGAGAAAGUGUUUGGGGAAACACCCACAUGUACAAAUAAGACUGAGCAGCGAUUCUGGAGGCUCUCAGGGAUAUAAACAUCUUCAGGCAGACGAGGAUGCUCGACACAGAUGAUGUCACACCAAGGUAAAAGUUCAGCCCAGGGCCUUUUCUCGUCUUUAUUCUGUUGGAGUACUUUUUAAUGAGCGAUGACUGAGCCUUCAUUUUAAGUGUCUAAUGAAUGGUUCUGAUUCAUGCUGCUGCUUCUGGGCGUCAAAUAUCAUUCAAACCCACUUUCAUCUGUUUUUUAUUCAAAUGCAUUUAUCCCAGCGCCGUAAAACUGAGCUACCUGCUUCACAUGAGGGAUCCAUAAAUCAAUUAUCCAUGCUGUUUUAUUUUGUUGGUAUGAACAUAUGCGAUUUUUAGAGUGAACUCCAGUUUUCUCCAAACAUGCAGACCGGAGGCAUGUUCAGACUCUGUGCCGGUCCAAGUCCACCUCCUCCAACCAGGUCUGAGCACAGUUGGGAGCACUCAGUCCAACAAACAGGCCUUUUGGAAACUCGCCUGAGUGCGGUACAGACUGUCUAAUGUGAGUUCACCCCGGGACACUAACUGUGAGCAGCAGGACAGUCAGCAACACUCCAGCUACCAACACAAACAUAUAAAUGAGUCCCAGGGAGUUUGUAUUUUUGUGUCAUUUUUUUUGUUAAGUUUUGAUAUAUAAAAUUUUGGAAUUUUAGCUUUUAUUUCCUGAAAACACUUUAAUUUUUAUUAGUUUUUAUUUUUGUAACAUGGGAUACUUGUCAGGGAUUAAACCCCCAAAAACAUUCAACAUUCUGUUGAAAAAAUAGAAACUUAACACACAAUCUGUUUGUCAGAGACGAGACUCGUAUUAAUAAAUUUAACUAUAUGGCUUGUGUUAGUUUUUUUGAAGCGAGUUUGUUCGUUUUUAUUUGUUUUUUUUUCAAAAUGAUUAGUUUUAGUUUACUUUUCAUUAUUUUUAAUUUUUUUUUAUAAAUGAUUAGUUUUAGUUUACUUUUCAUUAUUUUUAAUUUUUUUUUAUAAAUGAUUAGUUUUAGUUUAGUUUUCAUUAGUUUUAAUUUUUUUUAUAAAUGAUUAGUUUUAGUUUAGUUUUCAUUAGUUUUAAUUUUUUUAUAAAUGAUUAGUUUUAGUUUUGUUUUCAUUAGUUUUUAUUUUUUCAAAAUUAUUAAUUUUAGUUUAUUUUUUAUUAGUUUUUAUUGUUUCAAAAUGAUUAAUUUUAGUUUAUUUUUUAUUAGUUGUUAUUUUUUCUAAAUUAUUAAUUUUAGUUUGUUUUUCAUUUUUUUCUAACUUAUUAUUUUUAGUUUAUUUUUUAUUUGUUUUUAUUUUUUUCUAAAUCAUUAGUUUUAGUUUAGUUUAGUUUAGAAAAUGUUUCUCCAAUUUUAGUUUCCAUAACUUCGUUAGUGUUAAGUACUCCCCCCCCCCUCGAGACUUGGCCCCCUCACUCAGAAAGGUCUGGACACGCCCCUGCUACUUAGCACACACCUUCCCUGUGAGUGUGACUUUAGCGACAGGUGGUUGCUAGGUUAUAUUAGAUUAUUACGUUUGCAGCAGCAGGCCUCCAGCACAUGCCUGUCAGGAUAUUGAAAAUUUGUGAGUGAGCGAAAAGUCAUCAGAGAACGGAAAUUGAUUCACAGAGGGACCUCUGUCAACGUACCUACACAAAUAGAAAUUACAUUAACAUAUGCUUUAUGCUUCUGGGUGUCAUAGAUGAAAAUAAAUGUAAUUUUCUUUUGUUUAAAUUCAUUAUUAGAAGUUUUUAAUGUUGCUCUGUUGUGUUUUUAUCUUUAUUUCAGAGGCCAAGUGCAGCGAUGGUUGUCCUAACUCAAAGUACUAGACCUGAAGUUGAAGUGGCUGAUGUUUCUCUGAUAUUAUUGAAUAUUUUUGUGCCAAAAAAAAGCUCAGUAACUCAAGAGAAAACAACAAAAAUAGGAUUUAAAAAACCCAAACCAUGGUUCAAAAUAAAACACCCUCAGAAAGCAGCGACCGGGAGAGUCAAUCUGACCUAAAGAGAGGAGUGCUCAUCCGAAUUAAGUUUGGACAGUUUCCUCCAACCAUUGCUGAGAUGUUGAACUUCGCUGUCAUUAGGAUGUGUGAAAUAUAUGUCAUUAAAAGUUCAUUUUGCAGACCCUAAUGAUCACAAUCCCAAACUAAUAAGACUAAUAAUAAGUGUGGCCUGGAGUCAAACUCUAAAAAUUAAUAUUUGAUGAUCUUUAUCACUCUUAUUUAAAUCAUUACUCUCAGAAGUAGUCGUGUGUUAUCUUCUCGAAUAUCUGACACCGCUAAAGACAUCGAAUGGAAAUGCAGAAAUCCUCUGAAGAAGUGGUUUCCAGUAUAGGAGCAGCAGACAGGUACUUAGUUUAGCAGAGAGCGUCCUGUGACUGACUGCAGUCGAUCCUCGCUCUCUCUCUCUCUGCGCUCUGUGCAUCCCUCUGUUUGAUAAAGAGAAGAGUGCUUUAGCUCCAUUCAGCAGUUAUUCAGCUAAAUAAUUAAAAGUGGAUUUAAUUUCUCAGCCGUGCCCUUUCUUUUCAUUAAGCUCUCAGGUGAUGUGAUUAUCUUAUACAGUCUGGGUAGAGGUGGAGGUGCUGCUGAAGAGCUAAGCCAGUUUAGGAGGAAUUAAAGCAAUAAUUAUGUUAUUGUCGGAGACAGUGUGGUUGCAGUCGGUGGUUUUCUUUGUUACGGUCACUGCAAACACAGCGGGAAGAUGGUGUUGCAUUUACUUUUGCAUCUUCGACUGCUAAUCCAACUGUCUCCAGCUAUAAGAGAGUCUGUUUUAUAGAUCUGGGAACCAAACACUCUGACUGGAACAGUCACAGAAGUGGAAUUAUUGGUAAUAUAACUAGGAUAGGCUUCAAAACUCACCCAAAAUGUUUAUAUAACUUCAUUUGCAUAGUAACAUUUCCAGUAUGGACAAUGUGGAGUUUAAAACCCCUCACAGAUUAUGACCACAGGUUUAGGAAUUUCUCUUCCUCUGGUCCGAGCUCCAAAAUUUGUCCCCUUCAGAAAUUCUCUCCAGAAUCAGUUCAAUCAGCCGCUCAGCCAUCGAUCACAGCAGCAUCAACAACAACAACAACAACAACAACAACAGCUCCAUCCGAGAGGUCUGAGCCAAAUCAUGUUAGAGGCCGCAGAGUAGGUGGGCUGUGUGCAGCUCCAGAUUGAUAUCUGAUUGGCUGCAAGUUUUAGGAAGUCUUACUUUUUUGCGGAGCUGUUUCGAUGUGCUCGAUGUGUAUUUCAUUGUGUCUGUUUGUCUGCAAAAAAUAACCCAGUACAUGUGUCCAUAAAGGUAAGAACGAAGCAAAAUUUUAAAAUAAAACACCUUCUUUCACAUUGAACACAAAUCGAUUUCACAAACAUGGAAAUAUUUCACAAAAUCCAGUAAAACCUGAAACAUAAAAGCAAAGAUUCAUGAAAGAAGAUUUCUCAAAACAGACGAUUUUUCACAAAUUUCACAAAACAUGACACAUGAAACAACGUUUCCCAGAAUUUCUCGCCGUAUUUCACAAAAACUGACACUUUUCUGAACGCGUCUUUGUAUUAAGCGUGUUUGACAAACAAGUAACAUUUCAGAAAAUCAUCAAAUCGACAAAAACACGUCAGAUAACAACAUUUGAAAAAUUCGACCUCCAGAAAACACAAAAUCUGUUUCACAAAACACGACUGCAUUUCAUGAAUGUACAAUUUCCUAAAUUGGAAAGAGUCUUGUGUUGUUGGCAGACAGAAUAAAAGUGAUAAAACAUUUUUUUGUUUUUGUUUUUCUUCAAACAGAAACAAAAACAACUGAAACUUUUGGACUAGGCGGGGGUCACCUUUAAAAAAACUGUUUUUUACUUUUUAUUUUUUGGCACACAUUAACUCUUGCAUUGCUGGAUAACAGUAUGUAAACUAAGGGUUAUUGUGUCCCUCUGACCAGGAAGACAUUUAAGGAGACUUAAGAAGGAAUUUUGAAUUUUACCGUUAUUUUACUGUUAUUUUACCGUUUUUAGCAUGUGGAACUCUUUAAUGUACUUAUUCAUCCACAAAUAUAACGGCAUCUGAAGACUAAAUAAUAAAGGAAAUGAUCUGUUGAUCCACCGAUUUAACCCAAAGGGCUCUAUUCUUGUGCCUCGCCGGCGGUGUGGCGUAGGCACGUCGUAUGUCAGGUCCACCACCCCGUGCCCAAGCACAGUUUGGUAUUUUGGUGAGCGGUGCAGCGUAAGUGUCCCCCCUCCCUAACUCGGCGUAAGACGAAGAGAGGGAGGGGAUAAGGCGUGAAGUGGGUUUAACACACCCGUGACCUGUUUUCACCAAUCACAUCAGCUCCUCUCCUCACCUUUAAAUCUGCCACUGGUGAGGCAUAUUACAAAUUUCGUGAAGUAGUUGAAGAGUAGACUGUAAACUUUCUCAGUCUUCACCGAUAGCUCUAGCUCGCCGCUUUUGUUGGGGACAAAAGAGUUGACAUUUCCCAUGACGACUUCCAAGCCUUCACCAUUUUGACCUCCAAAAUCACCUCCAGAUGUCCACUGGAAUCGGAUGUUGUCGUCCAGAUUUGCUCCGUCUCAAUAUAAGAAGUAAACUUGAUGAUAACAUAUAAGUUAUCCGCGGUCAUCAGUUAAACCUCUACCUUGUUGACUCCAGGCCUGUCUCUGCUCACUUUGGUGUUUUUUCCUUUUUAGUCUUUAAAGUGAUGUUAUUUUCUCUUUACACUCAGGUGAUUGCUUUUUAAGAUGUUUUAUAAUGUGUUUUUUUUUUCUGUGUGCGUUUCAAUCUUCAAGGACACGGCCGUCUUGUCAAAAAGUAGCCCGUUUGUCAUAAAGAUGGCUUUAAUUCUUCUACUUUUGUGUUCCUGAGGAAAAAUGGGCGAAAGUAAUGAGGCAAAAACUUCAAAAUGAGAUGUUUAAAGAGAAAACUUGGAGGGAUGAAUGCAGAGCGGGUCUUUAUGACUCAAUCAGGAGGCUCUGUGAAAUUCUAAUGACCAGCUCAAGGACCGACAGUAUGAAAAAUUAACCUUACCUGAAGAGUUCAUUUCUCUGCACACACACACACGUACAAACACACACACACACAAUCUAUGCUGACCUCCAGGCAGGAAAUAACAUCCAGCAUCACAGAGAUUCAUUACCGCACUCUGCUCUUUGUUCUUUUAAAGUUGACGGACAACUUAAAUCCUGCUAUUCAUGAAAAAUACAGAAAGAUAAAAUAGGACAAACAGGACUUCAUGAGAGACCCGGUUUGUCACAUACGGGUUGUGUAAUGCACUCGGGUAAAGUUGUUUAGACAAAGUGUAGAGGCUGACAAUCAGCAGAGCGACAUGAAUGAUGUGGCUUUCAUCAAAGCGAUUGUUGAAUUAUUGAAUCAAAUUAAUGAAAGUUCAUUAAAGAUGUAGGACUUUGACACAGAGACGCCUUCCUGACAGACACAUCUCAGCGAAAUGAAACCCAGAGACGCCUCUUUGAAAUCCGGAGAGGUCCUCCAUUAUUAAACAUCUCUGGGGUUUGCUCUUUGAAUUUAAGAAUUACAAAGUCUAAGUGAGCGACACGUGCGGUUAUGUCCUGCUCUGUAGAACAAAAAUCUGUUUUGUUUGAGGCUUUGGGAAACAAGAGACAAACAGGAUCGAGACUAUUUUUAAUCUGCUUUAAAAAUAUCGUUCAGAUUAACUCUUUGUCCUUCCUCCUGGCCUCCCUGAUUUCACCUGCACAUCUCUAAAACCUUAAAUUAUUCACUUUGGAUUUAUCAUGUUUGGAGUUUCAGGAUUGGUUCUUGGGUUGCACCAAGUAGGUGUAAAACUCUUUUUGGCCACAAGGGGGCUAGUACCAAAACUAGGCUGCCUUCUUUAAGUACAGCUACAGAGUUUGAGGUGCAUCAGCUUAGAGAAAAGACGUCUUUAUUUCUUAUUUGUCGCAGUAGAUGACUGUCAAAACCACAUGUCAAAGGCCAGACUCAUAAAAAGUCCAGCAGGUUUGGUUUUUCUGUCAUUCUUCAAUGAUGUGUUUUCUUAUCGAGCUCUCUGCAUGCAAACACGACAAGCGUAGAUAAACAUGAAGGAAAGGAAGAAUGAUGAAGUUGGUGCUUUGAGUUGAAACUAUAACUCGUCCAUGCAUGCAUGACCCCCACAGCCCCUCUCUUGUUCUGCUCACUCUGUCCAUCCUGCUCCUCUCCCUGCUCUCCUCUCUCCACCUGUAGCUGCUCCAGGUCUCAGUACUGACUAAAGUCCAGUUUAUACGUACCCGGUUAUUUUUUAAACAAGGAGACAUUAACCAUCGUUUGUACCCUUCGUUUCGACGCAAACAGAGAAUGAUUUUUAAAAACUCAGGCUAGAGUGGCGAUUUUGGAAAACUCAGUUUGCACGUCUGCAUGUAAACAGAGAAAAAAAAGAUUUGGGUAGCCGACGGCAGAUUGUGCACAAGAAAGAAAGGAAGUGACAUUGUUGACGGCAUAUAUACACCGGUUCGUGUAAAUGAAAACUUUUCUGAAAAUGUCGUGGUGAACACGCUGAUUUUUUUAUUUUGUUAACGGAGAGGAUGAAAUGUCCGUUUAUGAAAAUAGCCGGGCACGUGUAAACGUAGUCGUACUUUUAGAGAUAGUGAGAGGUUUUGCGAAAGUUUCCAGUCUUUAGUGGGCAUCGAUGACUCAAACUCUUUUAUCCCCUCAGCCAUCAGGCCUUUAAAUGCCAGGAAGUCGGCUGAUGGUCAUAUGUGGCCUGUGCUGAACUGGAGCUUCAGGAGUAUUUUAUUUCUUAUCUUGUGUCUUACACUUGUGGAUCUUAUUGUAUUUUAACCAUUGCUCUGUGGAACUUGACUGCUUAUUGUACUUAUUCAGCUAUUUAUUGCUGAUCCUGCAGAUCUGUGAGUACUGACAAGGGAAUGUGGUUGUCUACUGGCUGCUAUUAAUGUCUUGCACUUGUCUGGUUUGUUUGUCUGCUGAUUUGUGUGUUUGAAUGGAUCAAACGGCAGGGUAACUGUGAACGGAAUUGGCCUUAGGGGAUAAAUAAAGUUGUCUGAAUCUGAAUCUGAAUCUGAGUCCUAGUUGCAGUCUUUGGGCCUAUAGUUUUAUAGCGCAGCUCUUUGUGUUUGACUGACCUGAUCGUUUUAGUUCGUUCUUUAUCGGGGGGUCUCCUACUUUCGUUUCUCGUUUUUCUGAGCUUUGUUUUUGUUAAUUUUAGAGGUUAAGAGAGAAAAUAAUAAAGAGUAAAAGCAACCAGAUUCUCUCACGUGUCAAUAAUAAUAUCAAGGAGAGGUGUUUCCUUGAAUUAUCUGCUGAUGUGUUGUAAAUUGUAACUGCAAUGUUCGCAUCUUUGACAGUUUCUCAACAGAAAAAGUAUUUUACAGCAUGAAUAAGAAAGUCCUGACCACUGUUGUCUGCAGAGCCUAGACAUAAGAAAGCCUAAUAGUGAUUCAGUUUUGAAGACUCUGUAAGCAACUGGAUUCUUCUCCAUCUGUACCCCAGAUAUUGACAGCAUCACAGCUUCUUGUAGACUCUAUUUUGAUAGAAACACAAUAAUUCUGACCUUGAAUCUGACCUUAAAUCUGAUCCUUACGGCUCUUAAAAACACCUCAAAACCAAUUCAACCCUGAAAAAGCUCAGGGAGAUUUUUGAAGAACACAAAAGAGAAUUUGGGGAUGACCAAAUGGUGCAUAAGAACAGAAAAACAUCUGUCAUCUGCUGCACAAAAACAUUGUUUUGUUGCACACUGCGAAAGAGAGACACUAUCACUCUUCCUCAAACACUAAAAGGAAGACAGACUGCCAGAACAGCAACUUUAAACAUCGGGUAUACCGAACAUUCAUCUCCUGUUUUCAUAGUUUUAUGAUAAGUUAUGAAUUCUGUUUGGGUAUGACUUUGUCUGCGUGAUUACCGCUCCAAAUCUGGAGCAUUUGCAGCGAGAAGAUGAUUUAUGGAGUUAAUUUGAACCUGCUGCUGGACCUCAUGGAUCCCUGCUGCAACAUGCUGCAGCUCUAAUUAAAGAUUCUAAUUAGGAUGACCAACAUAUGGGUUCAGUCGAGUGCAUUUCCACAUGUGCUGUAAUGGUUCGCAUGUGUGAAUGUGCAUAAUUCACAAAGGUACACUGAACUGCAGACUCCCAAAGGCGAUGCAGGUGACGUCUCAUUAGGUGUGUGAAAAAUUCGUACCUCAGACACCGAUCCCUGUUAAAAAAAACUAAAAAGUGGUAUUGCUCAAAUAUUUACAUCUUAUGAAUAUUUUACACGGGCUGUUUUGAAGGUUGAGAAACAUAUUUUAAAACUAAUCACUCUCUUUUCUUUCCUCGUUUCCAUAUUUUAAUAUAAUCUCAGCGUUUAGUUUCUCUCCAUUUAAAACUAAAGUCAAUCAGGCAUUAAAACGUCCCAAAACUCCUCGUUUUCAUCAUCUUUCAUUUCACUCAAAUAAAUAAAAACAUGUUUUCUUAUCCCGCCAGAAUGAGCUGGCAUCUGUGAUUCAAUUUGUUCUUUUUUUUUCUGUUGACUGUCUGCACUGAAACGUGAACACCGAGCCUUCAAACAUAUACUGUAGUCUUCUGGCGACAGCUUUGUCAUAAGACGCUGACAAUAACUAAUGCCAGAUCAAGCUUCUCUUUCUGUGUUUGAUGAGUUGAACAAACAGGAUUUUCCUCCUGAAGAAUAGAGUUGAAUGUUUGUCGCCUUUCUUUGGCAGAUUUGACUCUAAAUAUUUAAAAAUAUUGUCGUAAAAGCUUCAAUAAAGUCUGGAAUAUGAGUCUCAGAGAUAGAGGUCUAAACUCUGUUCCAGCAUGAUGACUUCUACUGUGUUCAGCAAUGUGCAAUUUUUGUGUAGAUGUGCAGCUCUGGUCUGUUUUCACCCUGCCAGCUAUCCUCAAAGGUUAAAGACAGCAUGAGCACUAAACGCAUGCUUUGCACCUUUUCAAUGGUUGCAUUUUGCAGCAAAAAAGAGGUUUAAGAAGUGAUUUCAUUUCAUAGUAACUUUAUUCCUGACAUGCAAAAGUCGUUCUGGUGUAACCAUUUAUGUUUGGCAAGCUUUGUUCAAAAAAUCCUGCAGAAGUGUAAUUCCAUAUCGAUGUUACCUAGAACUUUACAUGACACUCAAGAAAACUGAAUUAUCGCCUUAUUCUGAAGGUCAUAUAAACACCUUAGUCCGACUAUUAUCGGAGUUUGAGAACUCUGAGUAAGACACCCAGAUAAUGCGAUUGGAAUUCGAUUUUCUCGACCAUGUAACCAGCGUAGUCGGAGUAUGAUUGAACAAGGCAUGUGUCCUGUGACCCCUGAACAAAAACACCAGAGAAGAGGAGUCUCUACUCUGCAGAAAAGUCACGUGUACAUCAUGUACCACAAAAACAACGCUGUACGAUGCUCCAUCUUCUUGCUCCGAAAAGAUCCAUAUCGCCCGCUAGUUUUGGGGAGGAGGACACGUUCACUUCAAUAAUUAGAUUUUCUCAGCUGCAUGUAUAUGAGGACAAGGAGAGAAGUCUGAUUCAGCCAAAAAAAAUGAAUUAUAAGCUUAGUCCGAUUCAACUGUGCAAGUAAACACACUGACAGUUGCCAAAGUCAUGAUAAUUUAACAAAAACUAACUUAAGAAAAUAUUACUGCAGUACAGCUUUUAAAACAAACAUAACUGUUAUGAUUUAAGGAAACACAACUUUCAUAACCAAAUAACUUCACUGACUGAUUUAACCACUGCAAAAUAAAUGCAUCCAGUGGACACAGGCCCUUAUUCUUCGACCAUGAGAGUGAUGAGAUGUUGAGGCUGUUCCUGACAUUUCAUCUAGUCUAGUGUGUCCUGGUCCAUGACAUCUGAGACCAGUCUCCACCAUGUCGUCUUGUGGUCUUGCAGAUCCACAUACUUGUACUUUUAGCGCAGUUGGUUUAUCUCCUCUCACAUUUCAGAUUAUCCUCUGAGAUAAACUGUUCGUUAGGCUCAUGAAGCAACCAUGUGUUUGGCACCUUCUGCACACUGUUCUGCCGGACCCAUAUGCUCCUGCACAGGCUAUUCUGUCUGAAUGGCAAUUAAGCUUCUCGACAUGUGGAUGAAGAGGUUGUUGGAGCAAACACUUGGCCGGGGUCUGGUCCAAGUCCUGUUUUUUUUUUUUUUCAGAUAUGCUGUAAGAUUAAAGUGUUUGAUCGAUUGAUCUUGAGCAACUAAAUGUGAAAGUGUGAUUUUUAAUAUGCUAGAAUGAAAUUUAAAGGUAGUGAGGAAGAGUGAUGUGGGCUUUUCAGGGUAAACAUGACAUGGAUGGAAGUGCAAAAUAAACAGCAGGGGGCAGUGUAGAAGCAGAGUGGAUGUGAUGAAGUAAACGUGAUGGGGAUAUAUUCGCCAUUGUGCCACUAGACUUGAUUCAACGCCCCUGAAUACCACCUACAACGCUGAUCACUUGAUCUCAGUGUUAACAUAACAGUAACCUCCUUGAGUGUCUGUUAUUUACAAGUCUAUUGUUUGCAUCCCACACAUCUAGGCUGUGUCUCAUUUCAGAGACCGCAUCGGGAUAAGCGCGCUUAACGGCGCUUAGCUGAGUGCACUGCCGUUUUGUGCUGUUAUGUGCCAUUUUGCGCUGUUAUGUACCCUUCCUGUGUCCCAUUUCAGAGACCGCAACCGUCGAACGGCGCAUUUGAAGCGUGCGUGAGGUCAUCACGUGGCACGAACGGUGUCCCUUUUGGCACAAAAUACUAAGCGCGCUUCAAAUUCAGUUUCAAAAUCACACUACCCCCGCCUCUUUUUCAAGCGUGCAUAUAUGCACGCUUUCGUGCCGUCGGUUUCCCAGAAUUCUUUGCAUGCCGCUGCACAGCUUCGCAUUUCGGGUGAGAGGCUGGACUAAGAAAAUACAAUACAAUACAAUACGUCUACCACAGACAUUCAACCUCCAAACCUACAUGUCUCGACUUGCAUUUUGUGGUGUGAAAUCUGCCGAGAUACUGUCGUAGUCCCUCCACCAGAGAUGAGAUGUCUUCCACACGCCUUCCUCCACUGAGUCCAGAGUCCUGUACCCGCAUAUUCUGAGACCCCCUCAUCGUUUCACGAGCUCACAUCUCACUGUGCAUUCCUUGACUUUUAUUUUGUAGGGUCCAUAUAUAGCCUUCCUUACAUGUGGAACAAUUUUAAGAAGUAUGCGAUUACAUUGGGCACAUUUAUAUGAUGCUUUCACACCUUGUCAUUCUUUCUUGUAACACAGAAUCACAUUGAAAAUCGCUUUCGUUCCAUUCAUCGAGUGUAUUUUAUUAACAUGCAAAGGACCAGAUUUUACUCGACUGUUAAGCUGCACAUUAAAAAACCCAUCAGAGUUGUUAUUAAUACCACAGGCCUGAAUAUUAUGCAUAUCAAGGCUUGGCACAGGCCUUCAGACAACCUGCAGCUGGGUUAUACUCUAACAGGUCCUCGUACUGUUUGAUCAAGUGUUAACGAAGCGGCUACUGAAGAAGGAUUUACUGUAUCUGCAGAGUUUGGGUGGCUAUAGGUAUUGUGUGUGUUUGGGAUAUAAAUGGAGUGUUUAUAAGUUUUUUAAACAUAGAUUUUCAUUUUAGCGUCACUUGAAAUAAAUUGCAAUUGAAAGUUGGAGCUUGUGUUUGUUUUUAUUUUAAGAAAAAAGCUGCUGAUGUUAACUCCCUAAUCUUUUGGAUUAUUUGUGCUUUUGGUUUCUUCAUUAUUAUUAUUAUUAUUAUUAUUAUUAUUAACUGAGAAGUACUAUGAAUGUACUAAAGGGAUAAAGUGAUUUUACUCCAGAAUUGAGUUCACAAUAAUUUAUUUAAAGCCUCUGUCUGGAGUUUGGCACCCCCUUGUGGACAAACUGAUACCUCUAUAUCCUUAUAGUAGGCCAUGUGGCUUGUGUGUCCACAUGGCUCACAGGAUAAGAACAUUGACUGGGACUCCUGAGGUCAUGGGUUCAAACCUUAUUCAGGAUGAAUUUUAAAGUCCUGAGGCCUGUACUACGAAGCUGGAUUUGGUCUUAGCGAGAUAACUUCUGGAUAACUUCUGGGUUUUCCGUACUACAAAGUUGGAUCUCUUUUUAUCCGGGUCCGUUGCCCUGGUAAUUUACGCGGAACGGCAAACCUGCUCCGUAGCAGGUUAUGUUUCAGGAUAAGAUCUCAGCAGGUAUAAAAAACCGCCCACUGACCAAUCGGAUCUCUUGGAAAAUGGCUUGCCCAAUCUUGCCGGAUCCCGGGGACAUCGUUGCACGGGUAGUGAGAGGAUCGCUACGCCGAGAGUGUUAUAUUCAUGAUCGGUCAAACCCCUUUGAUUUACCUGAUGAUGUUCUAUAUGAACGUUACAGGUUUUCCUCGGACGGCCGAAAUAUUCGGGUAGCAUGAAGUCUAAGCACAAAUAUUUGCCAAGCUCCAGGUUCCAAUUUCAUGCGGCAUAUCAGUCAUCAUUUAGAAUUUAUUGAAGCAGAUUAGAAAACUCCUCUUAACCCCAAAUGUGUCUGCAGAUGACGUGACUAUCAGAUGAUGGAGAAAAAAAGAAAAAAAGGCAGUGUGAGGAAAUCACUGUUUACGCAAUGAAAUAUGUACAAAUAAAAUCUUCCAAUAAACCUACAAAAUACUUUAAAGGAUGUUUUUAGAUUUGUUUUUAUUUGCUCCCACGUACUCUUUUCCCCACUGCUGUUGUAUCUGAAAUAAUGAGGUCUAUGAUGGAGGUGAUCACACACGCUGCAUGACAACAUAUUAGGGGGCCAUAAAUUUAUGAACGCACAAAUGUAAUUUACACAAUCGAUGAUUUUUUUUGCCAGCUGUCCCUCCGGCUUUUAGCGGCUGUGGCUGUCCUGCUCCUCACUGUUAUAAUACUCCUCAUAAAAUAAUGCUCCGUUCGGCUGUGAAAAAUGACGUGCAGCCUUCUCCAUUGUGGAGAUUGGUCCGGUGGCACUGACCCCACCCCCUUUACGUGUGCGCGCACAGAUCUGAAGUGGCCACACCUGGAUUCAGUUAUCGAGUUGAUAACCGGCUUCGUAGUACAGCUGAUCGGGAUCGCGGCGAUCCGGUGAAGUUUAGCGAGUUGUCGCAGAGUUAUCCUGGAUGUGUUAAUCCAGCUUCGUAGUACAGGCCUCAGGAGCAAAAGUACCAAGAUAAAAGCACGCAGAGCUCAACCCCAACUGUGGAUGGUCUAUGGUGGCGCAGUGUGGUAGACAUCUAACACCCUAAUGUGAGCCAUGUGUUCUGGUUGAAGACCGGCUCCUGGUUCGAAACCCGCUCAGCCCAGGGGUGUGGGGUUACCCCCCCGGUGUUUCCAGAGAGGUAAAAUAGGGGGGUUAUUGUGUCCACAUGGCUCAGAGGAUAAGCAGACUGCCUGGCACUCUUAAGGUUGUGGGUUCAAGCCUCACCUAACCCAACUUUAGGUCAAUUUUAAAGCCUUGUGUCUUCAAACGACAGUGAAAUAGGAAAAAACCAGAAGACUCCUCUGUGUCCACAUGGCUCAGAGGAUAAGGAGACUGACUGGCACUCUUAAGGUUGUGGCUUCAAGCCUCACCUUACCCAAGUUGAGUUGAAUUUUAAAGCCUUGUGUCUUCAAACGACAGUGAAAUAGGAAAAAACCAGACAACUCCUCUGUGUCCACAUGGCUCACAGGAUAAGGAGACUGCCUGGCACUCUUAAGGUUGUGGGUUCAAGCCUCACCUAACCCAAGUUGACAUGAAUUUUAAAGCCUUGUGUCUUCAAACGACAGUGAAAUAGGAAAAAACCAGAAGCGUCCUCUGUAUCCACAUGGCUCAGUGGAUAAGGAGACUGAUUGGCAGUCCUAAGGUCGUGUGUUCAAAUCUUGUACAGGUUGUAUUUUAAAGUCCAGCAGCCAAAGUUCCAAGAUAAAAGGGCACGGUGAUGGCCGGUGGCUGAGCAGAGGGCGUAGUCCUCUGCUCAGCCGAUGGUCAUUCGCCGCGCGGCCGAUGGCCAGUGGCUGAGCAGAGGGCGUAGUCCUCUGCUCAGCCGAUGGCUGGUGGCUGAGCAGAGGGCGUAGUCCUCAUGUGGUAUUGUCUGCCUCAGUUAUUUUAAAAUACAAGUUGGUUGCACACAAAUUCAUAGUUGGAGUAAUUUAUCUUAAAACAUCAGGGAUCCUAUAAAGAACUCAUAGCCAUCCUAUUACCUAGGAUAAUUAGGGCUACACUAACUUUGCUUGAACCUGUGCUAGAGCUGGGAAUGAACUGAAAAUUUACAGAUACCGAAAUUUACGAUAAUAACCGACAUCAUUUGGUCCAUAUCAGCAUAAUGAGUGUCAAAAAAAUAAAAUAAAUAAAAGUUGGGGUAACACUUUACGAUAACCAUAACUUAUUAAUGGUAAGCGGAUAGUUUAUAAUUGUUUAAUCAGGGCCGGCCCUUGGCAUAGGCGACAUAGGCGGUCGCAGAGGGCGCCAUCUGCUGGAGGGGCGCACUGCCAGUACCCUCCACCAUUUAUGAAUCAUGGUUAUUGUAAAGUGUUACCAAAGUUGGUUUUGGAUGUGUGUAGGUAGGCUAUGGUCUCAUGUCCCUUUAAGACGGUGUUAUCGUCCAUUUAUCGUUAUGGAGGUGAACUGAUCAAUAUAUUGUGACAUUGAUUUGAGGCCAUAUCGCCCAGCCCUAACCUCUGCAAAGACAUCAUGUCGAAUUCUUUAGAUGGUUUGAUUGCAUACAACUUUUAAAGCAACUUUUUUAAGCACUUGUACUUGUUAUUAAUCACAGUAAACCCCUGUCCUUCUGCCCCUCAGACUGAGAUGUCCUGGUGCAUUUUUCUCUCAAUUUUUUUUCUAUGCUGUUUUUUUCGUUAUUAUUUGAAUGAAGUUGAUUCGGAGCUGCUUAUGCAGCAGCUGGUAUUCAGACAAACCCCCUCAGUGAAUAAUUACUGUCCUAAGUGAGGCGAAUUUUAAUUUUGUUCGCUUUGCAAAAACUACUCUACAGAGACUUUGACUGUUCGUUUGGAUAUUUCACACACACCCCAAAGAGAAGCGAAGGGUUUAGGAAGCAAGGAGACACAUUCAGAAGGAAAAACUGUGUAAUUUAUACUGUGUAUGAGAUCUAUACGAGAAAGUAUCAUGAUUAAAAUAGUUAAAUUAAAGAGGAGAUGACGUUUGAGGAAAAUACUGCAUGGAUUUCUGAGCUCUUGAUCUCAUUAUUCAGCCUAAUUGUGCAUCGAUUUCUGCAUUCGAGUUAUAAUUGCAAAUUGGUUUGACGGUUAUUCAAAGCUGUCAUCAUUUUCCUCUGCGUUUAUAUCUAGUCAUGUAAUUCGGAUCUGUGAACUGCCCUUUAAAAGACAAAAAAGCGUCAGUAUGAAAGACUGCAGAAACAACAAAACCUCUAAAUGUGCCUUAACUGGCAAUUUUGUAAAAUUAAUAAGACGUCAAACCAGGUAAGAAAUGAUUGAAAAGAAGCAAAUUUGCUCGUAAAAGGACCCUCAGAAGUCGCCUCACAUGGGGAUUGGAAAUCAUUUUCACAUAUCUCAAAAUAUAUUCAAAAGUAUCACAAGUAGGUGGAAGUAAAUAAGGAAUGACAGGUGCUACACACCCCGGAUUUCACACACACACUCACACACCUCAGUCUGUGCCGUACCUGUAUGAUGUGAGAGUUAUAUCUGACAUCCCUGGGAGUAAAAGGCGACAUGAAACGCCACUUUGAGCUUAAAGAAAUCCAAACAAACGCCGCUUGUCUAUUAUUGACACUCAGGCACCAAAAUAGCAAAAACUGUCUGAGCUCCAAGUGACAAACGCAGCAUCCCCGCUAACAUGCGACUAUUAUUCAGAGGAAAAGGAUUCAUAAAAGUGCAGUAAUUCUUCUAAAGAUACACCAAAGCUCAUCACGGUACAAAGCUAAAGGCUGAGCAAUUUCCUGGCUCAACCAAAACUGUCGAAGACGCCGUCUUUACAGCACCUGUGGGGGAGAAUUGGGCCCAUUACCAAAAUCUCAUUAGCCACAGCGCCGCGUGUUGGCACUAAAAUAAAAUGAUGCCUGCUCACAGAGUUUCAUUUUAAUUAUUCAUUGUUUGCAAUAAAGUUCUCCAUGUCCAAAGAGGUAGACUGCGGAGCCUCGUCUUCCCAGAAUGAGGAUUGAAAGGAUGGGGUUUUUGGAGGUUUCUUGAUGCUGCUCCUUUCAUGUCAAAAUGCUUGUUGCAGCGAGGUGGCCUGUUGAGAUCAGACAGAUGAGCCCGUGUGCAGAGUUUCCAGUCGGGUCUGACUGAUGUUUGUCUGCAUAAAGGGGUGCAUACUUUCUAUCUACGCUGUAUGCUCGACAUAUAACCAUGUUUGGUCUGUUCUUUUCCUUUUAUAUCUUCCAUUUAUUUGGGACAAGGUGAAUUUUGAAGUCUAGUGUCUAGACAGGAAAGUGAAAGAGGAAGCAAGUGGUAUAAUCCUGUGUGUCCACGUGACUCAGAGGAUAAGGAGACUGACUGGGACUCCUGAGGUCAUGGGUUUGAACCUUAUUUAGGACCAAUUUUUUAGUCCAGGAACCAAAGUACCAAGAUAAAAGCAUGCAGAGCUCAUCACCAACUGGGUAUCCGGUGGCGCAGCAUGGUAGACAACUAAUCCCCUAAUGUGAGCCAUGUGAUCUGAUUGGAGACCGGCUCCUGGUUCGAAACCGGCUCAGCACAGUGUGAGAUUCUGAAGCAAAUCCUGGGGAGCCAGGCCCGGGAAGGUGGGGUUACCCCCCGGUGUUUCCAGAGAGUUAAAAUGGCGAGGUUAUCCGACAGGAAGUCAGGGGUAGCUGAAGUUUAGAAUAUAGAUGGGGGGAUAUAGGGGGGUCCUCUGCAGCCUGUAGGGAACUUGUCCUCUGCAGGUUGAAAAACACUGGAAUAAAGAAAACAGCUGUGUCAUAUGUGAACGUUUGUAUGAGCGUGCGCCCACACGAGAGAGGCGGCUGUUUACAGCUUUCUCAAUAACGACGCUAGAUUGGGUGAUGUGUGUUUAAGUAGAUACAACUGUGCAAAAAAAAAAUAAAGAUGUUAAGUGAUGUUUUUCUUCUUUUUUACAAGAACUUAAUGUGAGGAUACUCCAGGAUUUUGCAUGUCAUUGAUGCUGAUUGUCCCUGAUAAUGAAUCCUCCAUUCACUGAUAGUCGGUGAGCCUCACAAACGCGUCCCCCCACACCGUCUCCUGAUUGGGCGACUCUGUAAUGCUUCGCGGUUUAUAUAUAACAUCAAACGCCCCGUGCAGAAACAUGCAAGCAUCGUGGGAAAUGUGUGCUAUAACUCAAAGCAUUUUGUUGGCACAUAAGCUUGUGAUGCCUCAUGAUAUAUUCAACAUAAAACAGAGUGAUGACAUUGACAGAUCUCUGGUGAAGGUUGUGCCGGCGUCUAAUUGGUUCGUUUUCUGAUCUGUGCUGCUGCAUUGGAAAGCAGUUUAAAGUGCAGCCUAACCAAAACAGAAACACUGCUUCUCCUGCUGAGAGAAACUAAUAACAUGAAAACAUACUUAUAUUCAAACACAUCAAAUAGUUCAGAUGAGAUUUCCUAUUUUUACUACAGACUCAAAAUAAAUACUCAUUUAUACAACUUAUCUAUAAAACUGUACUCUGAUGUUUAAAUAUAUGUAUUAGGAGUGGAGUUAAACUGACUUAAACUGAGCUGUUAUUCCUUUAUUUUAUUCUUCCAUUUAAACGCUGACAUAAAAAGAGUUGAAAUUAUCAAGAAAAACUGUGUAAAUAAUUUAAUUUGAUCUCAUCUCUCUUUAUUAAGUUAUUCAUGAAACACUCUGGAAUCAAAUAACUUGGUAGUCGAAUGUAUGCUACAUUACAGUGACAGACUUCCUUUCACUGCAUGAAAGCAUUGAACAAGUAAGAACAGCGAGCUGGCAGACAGACAGUUUGAUUCAUAUUUAAUGUUGCAGCUGCUUAAAAGUUUGUUUAAAAAGUGAAAUAGAGAAAUUCUUUCAUUUUUAUGACCUUUGUCCACACGCUGCUUAAAGUUUUAGACAAAAUCAACUUUUUGCUUCUUUUUAAUUCAUAAAAUAUACCUGAUUAAAUCUUCAUGAAUAUCAAAUUUAGCUUUUUUUUCUCUGUCUGUAAAGAAGUGCAUCUGUCCUGAUGUGGCUCUGAAUCCUUUCUUGCAUAUCCUAAUAAUUUCGUUUUCUGCUCAUGGUUGCAUAUGGGUGGAACCAAGGCACAAGCAUUUAAAGCUCCUGUGAGAAGUUUUUUUUCGACGUGUGUAGAAUCAACUUGAACUCAUGCAUGUCUCUUUAAAACAGUCCAGUUUUUCAACAUGAAAAUAUUUAUAGUGGAGAUAAAUCUGGACAAAACUCAGCAAAGACUGUUUUGUCCACCAGGGGGUGCCAAGUUGAGUCAAACUGAAAGUUCCUCUCAGGAGCUUUAACUUACCUGUGAAAAAUUAGAAAAAAACUAGUUGGUGCAUUUCACAGCAGGACAUAUUAUUGCAUCGAUUUGAAGUAAACACUGCUGAACUGUAGGGGGCCUCAUUCGGCAAUAACUCUGUAAAAUAAUCAUCUUUUUAUAAUCAGUUAAAUGUGGGGUAGUCAGGAUCUGAGGAAGUUCCAGUUUUUAGGAGACAUCUUGAACGUAAACUCUACCCCUCCCAACCAGUUUUCCCCUCAGAUUUACUUCGUUUUCUUGCUUGUGUCGGCAGUCGUAGGAUUCAGACAAUUUUCCGAACUUUCUGGUUGGUUUCUACUGUCCGAUAUUGUAGCACGCUAACUUUGAUUGCUUUGAUUCGCUUUGAUUCCAGUAUGAAAAUGCAGAGAGUUCAUUAAAUUAUGAGGCAGCACAUUUCCUCUCUUUGUUCUUUUAACAUUGUUUGUGAGUUUUUGUGAACUCGGGUCACACAGAGAGCCUGCUGCCCUUGGCUCGCAGCUCCAUCAAUGUUAAUUCUUUUUUCUUACUUCCUUGCUGUUGUUAAAUUUAUCCAGCAUGAGGGGAGUGUCAGCGGGUGGCCUGUGGCGAGUCUCGCUGCAAUAAGGUGAUUUUCAGACAAGACUAAUUUGGGGUGGAGCGAGGUGAAGGGGGAGAGGACGCUGAUGACACAUCAGAAAAGCGCUGUACAGUAAGCGGAGUCAGCUGUGUUUGCUGCUUUCAAAGUGCUCCAAAGUUUCUUCUUGUGUUUUCCUCCCAGCAUGUGUGAACGUUUGGCAGAGUGUGAGUGAGUGAUCUCACAGUUUAAGUAGCCACCGUCGGAGGGAGGAUAAGAAACUCACUUUCAAAGAUUGUCAGUUGAAUGAGGGGAUCCCUUCUUGAAGUCUGAACUUUAUUGAGGCUCAGCUUUGUAGCACUGUGAGUGAAUCCACUCCAGCACACUCACAACCCUCAAAAAGGGAGUAUUUGAGAGUAUCUCCACUGCGGAUCAUUGUUUUUUCGGAGAAGAAUCGCGCUCCCUCGCCUGUCUUGUCACUGAAAUAGGGCAGCGUCAGUCUGAGUUGCUUUGAACACGCUGACACGAUUUCAGGAGGCAUCUUAAGGGAACAGAAAUAUAAGAAAUGAUGUCUCAAAGGUGUCGGAACAAAGGCGGAAAGUUGAGGACUGUUGAAAGUUUAUUGCUCUGGAGUCGGUGCGUGACUAUUUUCAGCUGCACAGUGGUUGACUGUUGUGAAUACUUAGCAGGGAUGCAGACCUGCAUAAACAUGACAUGAUCAGAUUCCUGACAUGAAUGUGCGUCUACAUGAAGAGUGACAACCAUCCUUCAACAUUACCUCUGACGUGUGACGGAUUUCAAAAUGAAGCUGUGGUCCACAUUGAAAUUCAUCUCCAGAGUCCGUUCAGUUUAUCACUAUGUUCUCAGUUUUUAUCAACCCUGCAUGUAUGGUUUAUUUGAAUGAACAUGAAAUAUUUAAAAUCAAUGAUGCCUUUUCUAAAUAACACAUCUGACUGUUAAAUUACUUAAAAAAUGAAAUGGUAUCAAAAUUUCUUUCAUGUUUUAUGUGCCAAAUAAACAGUUUUGACACCAGAUACAGGAAAGUAUAACAAAAAAGGUCUUAAAUUUGUGUUUUCAAUGACAUGGGUAUCAAUUUUUUAACAUUACAAAAAUUAUUUUCUCAUAUUCAAAUAAUAUAUAUUUGUCAUAUUUCUCAUAAGUCUCAUAUUUUUCAUAUGAAUUAUAUUUCUCAUACGUCUCAUUUCUCAUAUGUCUCAUUUCUUAUGUCUCAUAUUUCUCGUCUCAUUUCUCAUAUGUCUUAUAUAUUCUUAUAUGUCUUAUAUUUCUAAUAUUUCUUACAUGUCUCAUUUCUUAUAUUUCUCAUAUUUCUAUUAUUUCUCAUAUCUCUAAUUUCUUAUAUGUUUUAUAUUUUCAAUGUCUUUUUUCCUCAUAUGUCUCAUUUUUCUCAUAUUUCUCAUAUGUCUUAUUUCUCAAAUGUCUAAUAUAUGUCUCAUCUCAUAUGUCUCAUAUUUCUCAGAUGUCUUUAUUUCUAUAUUUCUUAUAUGUCUUAUAAUUCUCAUAUGUCUCAUUUCCUAUUUGCCUUAUAUUUCUCAUAUUUCUCAUAUGUCUCAUAUUUGUCAUUUCUCAUAUUUCUUAUAUUUCUCAUAUUUCUAAUAUUUCUCAUAUCUCUGAUUUCUUAAAUGUUUUAUUUUUUCCAUGUCUGUAAUUUCUCAUAUGUCUUAUUUUUCUCAUAUUUCUCAUGUCUUAUUUUUCAUAUUUGUUAUUUCUUCUGUCUUAUAUAUCUUACGUUUCUCAUACGGCUCAUAUUUCUCAUAUGUUUCAUAUUUCUCAUAUAUUUUCUCAUAUGUUGCGUAAUGUAACAUUGACAUCAUGGAGGAUAUUCUUGACAUUAUUAUUUAUUCUUGGACCACAAAACCUUGUAUUUGUGGUUAAUGGAUGACCAAUCAUCUCCCAAACUAGAAAUACAGAGGAGGAAAACAGCUCCCGAUACUGUGUAUAUGUUCAGUGGAAACACGACCAAGAAAAGAGUAGCAGAAAGUGUUUUUAUUUUUUUGUGGUAUAAGUGAGCCUGUUCUGAACCAUCUAUGAAUCAAAAUGUUCCUGUCAGCAUGUUUAUUUCUUCAGAUGGUUGCUGGGCGAUUGCUCCGACAAGUGAGGUUUGAAAAUGUGUCCUCAUCACAGCUCCAUGCAGCGAGGACCGCCAUCUGUAAACAUUGUUGAUGUCAUGAUUUACCACCUGGAAAAAAAACCCCACCCAAAACACGCUCAUUAAAUCAGGAAAUAACGAUAAAAUUUGAGUACAAUGUCCUUUACAGCUUCUGGAUGCUAAAACAGGCUGUUAUUGUUUUUGUACUCAAAAACUAAUCUCUGUUUAUUUUCAGACCUGGAUUUAUUUGUAGACGGGGUGUUGAGAAUAUUUUUACAUUUAUGACUCGCGAAACUGUAAUUGCGAUUUAAUGAGUUGAAACUUGUAAUUGUUACGGCGCGCAGAGGUCAGGGAAUAAUCACAGUUCAUGUUCUUUGACGUUACAGCUUGACUCGGCCGGUGUUUAACUAUGAUUAUAAAUCUGAAUUAGUCUGUGAUUAUUGGUCAAACCAUCAUCUCUCUGUGUAAUUAAGUGAGAGCUGUGUGCAGCCUGUAUCUGGAAUACAGCAGCUCCACUGGAAUAUGAAAACCGCUGUGUGUGGAGUAAGACACUGGUGGUCAUGGAUGACCACUCUGAUCUCCAUAUCUUCCAAACACAGGCUCCUUCUCUGGGGUCACCUUGUCUGACUGCUUUGCUUCAUACAUAAUCCGCCACUUACUCCCGUGCACUAAAAACACGAGCUUACCGCCGGCGCCGAGAGCUCGAGUUCUGCCAACAAAGCUUGUGUUCCUGUGCUGAUCCACACCUAAAGCACUCAGGUGGCAAAGCUGAAUGCAUGGGGGGGAUUCAUGCAGAUAAAACUGCAAAGACUUGUUGUCUUACAGAAAAACGAUUUGCAUAAAGAAGAGAACAAUGCAGAUCAUAAUUUGUGAGUUUUUAACACAAAUCCUCCUUCGCUGGUGUAUUUACAGGAUUACAUGAAACACAGGUGAACAUAUUGCAGAAGCUCAGGAUGCUUUUUUGGCAGAAGAUAAUACGCAUUUCCAGGCAGCUUCAUUUCCUUGAAAUACUCCCUUCAUAUAGGGCGCUUUAAUAACCAACUACAAAAUAAUUAACUCUCACUUUGUUUAUGUUGCAGAGACACCUAAAAACUUUUGAAUCUGUGAUGACUACAGGAUAUUUUCGUCCUAAAGAGCCACUCCAGAAGGCACAGAGAUUAUCCAGGGAGUGCCUGCUGAUGAGUAAUUAUCCUCUCAGGACUUCGUGAAACUUGGAGCUCGGAGGAACAAAAACAGGGAUUUUCUCCGACUUCUUUGAUACAAAGAUGGAUGCUACAAAUUUAUGUGGCGAUAGAGAAAAUAUACAUCCUUGUUGUCAUCAGCUUUGAAGAUAAACUGUUUAACGUCCGUGUUUUCUCUCGAGGUUGUUCAGAAGUGGUAGAAGCUGUCCAUCAAACAUAUCGGGCCUCCUAUUGGUCCAAAACUCAACACAACUUUUGAACGAUUCGUCACAAUGUCUCAUUUCCACCCGUCUAAACUGUGUUUACACGUGUAGAACAGAGUAUUGAAUUUGAUUUAUAACCUUUAUUAGAACUUUUAAAGCUACUUUGGCAUUUGAACAGCAAACACAUAUAAAUCAAAGCAGGUCCAGACGCUUCCCUCACCUGUUUGCUCAACUCGACUAUAAAGUCAGUCAGACUGUCGGUGUUAGUUUGGGAGGCGGAGGAAGAGCUGUGAAUUGAAGAGAUAAAGAAUUUAAAGCCCACACACACCCGCGCACGCACACACACACACAUGGAGGCAGACAGCCAGUCUAAUGCAGGUUCAAAUAACAUCAGAUAUGUUUUAUCUGUUCCUGUCAGCGUUGCUUGACUCAGAAUUGGCCCACAGCUCAACCAGCUGAGAAAAACUGAAGGAAACACAGAUGGUGUUUCAAACACGCUGCUUUGUCCUCCACCAUUAUUAAUGAAUUUCAUUGUUAAGGGGAUAAUUACGACCCUUAGUUACAGAACUCCUGAUCUCCUCAGUGGACACCUCUGUAACUCUGCCGUCAUCCUCCUCACCCAAAGCAGCCGGAGUAAGCACAGCCAGACUUUAGAGCAAGUCCCUUUAGUUAAAAACCAUAAUCCACUGUUGAAUUCAGAGUUUAAAUCCAUGUUGACAUCAGCGGGAGAAAAGCUAUUUAGCUCACAAACCAAGUGACACGGGAUUACACUGUGAGGUGUUCAAGAUUAGGUCGGUAAAACAAGAACUAGGCGAGAUUAGAUGAUGUGUUAUCAUGAUGUGUUCAAAUGUCAUGUCCUCAUCCCUCACCUUAAACUCACAGCCUACAUUUCCCAGAAUGCAACCAACCAUUUACAGUUUUUUGACAUCAUUUUUUGUCAUCUACUUUAAUUCUACUGCUCGUUAUGCUGCGUUCGAGUUACCUCUUGUCACAACGCGGCUCUAAGGCUGUAACAAAAUCGGGAGGAGAGACGAGGUAGACAGAGAAAAUACAACAAUCAAUUCAGUCUUCCCAACAACGUAAAACAAAAUGUGUGCUGUGAGGGAGAGAAAGCCACUAAAUCCGGGAUUUAAAGUUGUAGGACUACACCAGGCCCAGGUGUUGCACAUCUCCUGAUUAGGAUGACCCUGUUUCCACCUGACCCUGCAACAGAGCACACAAGAACACAGAAACCAGCAAACCAGCCAAACAGGAGCACCUAGUGGUAGGGAGCAGUCAUCACACUCGGAAGUCGGAAGUCAGGAGUUACCAGCGUUUCAGUGACCAAGUCGGAAAAAAGCCUCCGAUUUCGCUUUUUUCCGACUUGGUCACUGAAACGCUGGUAAUUCGGGUGUGACGUCAAUCCCAGCUCCGACAUCUGACUUCUGAGGUAACUCGAACACAGCAUUAGAACCAAAGGGUAACUUAUUCAAAUGAGCUAGACUGGUUACCAUGGUUACAAACUGUACGCCAGAUAGUCACCUCACCCUAUACGACACCUCAUUCUUAUGUAUGUUUUUGUACUAGGAUUGUUAUAUACACGUUUUAUUUAGUUUUUGCAGAUGGUGGUACGAGUCAAAGAGGAUGCGUGCUUUAGGCCACACUUUUUAAAACUGGAGCCGAACUUCACUUCCUGUUUGCACACAAAGAAACCACAACUUCAGUCUGAGUUUACUUUGUAAGACAGCCGGUGAAGAGACGCUCACAUGAGCUCUUUUUAGAUCAGUUAUUUGGGUCAGUUAGGAAGACAGCAUCCUAUUAUUUCGUUUGAGGUAUGAGGAGUCGAGCAGGAAACACUUUAUGAGACACAAACUCCCCCAUGUUUUACUCAAGUAAUGGAUGUCAGUCUGACUCGGAGAACUCUGCCUCCCUUAUAUAAAUAGUUCAAACUGUUCAACACGUAUAAAAAAUAAUGAGUUCCUUUUCAAUUCUCUGCCCAUAUAUGGUAAAAAAUCAUUUAUUCUUCAUUUCCUCAGAGACAGUGUAUAUUUAUUCCUGUAUUUACCACUUUGUUGCUCCCAUGAUGAUGUGUCAAUCUUUAGUUUUCUUACUUCUGAUCAAAUCAGUUUUCUACGCCCUUGUUUGUAGCCCGUUUGUGUUUUACCCUCUCGGGGAUAAACCAGUUUUUGUUUAGUGUUUGUCCUUUUAUAGCAGAAAACUGUUCAGAGGAAAGUCCCUCGGGUGCAUUAAAUGUUGAGAAAAAGUCUCUUGGGUGCUGAAUGUAUAAAAUAUUCAUUAUGUGGUGCAUUUAAGGUUUUAGUUAAAAAGAAAGCAGCACAGACGCAAUAAAAACCCAAGUUUUUACACAAAUACACUUUUCAAAGUAGACUGGACUGACGCAGAGAUAUUUAGAGAUAGCUGCCAGAUGUCUUAACGACGACCCGAUAUAGAAAUGGAGAACGGUUUCACAUGUCCUGACCCUUCUUCUAACCCCGACCCUCAUCCAGGUAAUCACUGCGUUUAUGUUGCCUAGAAACAGGAGUUCGCUGACGUCUCCUGAACUCAACAAGAGGUCUGGGAUGCAACAAAGGAGAGCGUUGAGCUUUUUGGCGACAUACUGACAUGAUCAGGGUAUUUAUUUGAGUUUUUAGAGUUUCCUUGUUUAUCUUCAGAAUACAAAAAAUAAUUCAUACCAGCUCCACUGGAUUCAGCUUUUGUAAAUAAAGAAAAACAGCUCUUCUUCCUCUAAAAAAAUUUUGUUUUCUUCUUGGUUUUCUCGUCGGCCUACUUGUGUGAUAAAUUCACACAAAUUGAGAUAAUGGUGCAUAAAACUCACUUAAUUUGUGCAAUUUGUUCCACGUUAUGUGUGAUGCUCAAUAAGAACUGGUGUCUUCUUCGGUCUUUACGUUAAGUUAGCAUUUAAGUCGCUCCUGAAAAUAAUCAUAUUUCCAUCUGCUGUGAACACGGCCUUAACUGGAGACGUUGACUCAACCCAACUUCCCUCACUGCUGGCAAACAGACAGAGUAGCUGGCGGUCAAAUCAGCCAUGCCCUUAAGGAUAUAACAACAAUAACAAUAAGGAUGUUCAUUUUUGGUACAAAGAUGGGCCCUUUAAAACAUGUGUGUGAGUGAAUGAGGGGCUUUUAGAUCCAGCUUCAAGUUGACACUCGAGAACCUGUAGUCCUUAGCACGUCUGUGUUCAUUUCUCAAGCCCACUUGAGACGAACAUUUUGAUUUUAUAAGAGAAAAUAUAGAAAUGAAGACCAAACAGAGAUAUAAAUGUCAAAGUGGAACGUCAGACUCAAAACUUUUAAUAGAAGUCCUUUAAACAUGCACUUGUUUUCAUUAAAUACUGUAGAUGCAGUUUGAAGAUAACACUAUUAUGAAAGCGUACACCGAUCUAGACAUCAUAUUUUCUGAAAAAACAAUUUCCUCUUGCUUUAUUUUCCCAUUUAAAUAUGUUUUUAUUGUAGCUAGUUCCAUUAAAAUGUAAAAAGAAGGCUUUCUCUGGUUUGAUACCGACCCCUUUGUGAUUAUUUCAAGCAUUCAGAAUCAUAACAUCACUAUUGUUCAAUUUCUUUCCAUCUUAAAACCAGGAUAAGACUCCUCACAGGAGCUUUAAAGACUAAUCCACUGCCUCUAAAUGGCGGUUAAAGCCUGACCUGCAUCCACGCUUCCACCUUGUUUACAGACGUGACCUGCAGGACACACCUGUGAUAACCAAGAACUCUCCCACUUUCCUCUGAGAUUUUAUAAUUCUAAUAAAAUUCAAACAAAUUGGACGAGCUCACAGCUCAGCGGUUAUCAUGGAUGACAUUGCACAAAACGAGCCUCGUAAAAUCCUGAAGCGAUUUACAUGAAAACGCUUAACGGCGUAACAAAACCGUGACACAAGGAGAGCGACAAAACUCCAGUCGCAGCUUUUACAGGCAUGUUUGGUAAUGUGCAUUUGCUGAAAAUAUACUUCAUAUCCAAAGUUAAAGAAGCGGCUUUCUUCAGUUUGAGUGCGUGUUUGGAGUUUUGCUCGAAUACCUCUGAGGAUAGCAGAGUAGGUUAUAGUACACAGGACCUUCCUGUGACAGGGGCCCAUAAAGAUAAAAUAAUGAAUGACCAUAAAUGCCGGUAGGGGCCCUUGCUUGUGUACAGCGCCCAUAAUUUUGUGUGACGGCCCUGCUCACAAACUUCCUGACAAAGUUAAAACAGCUCUGCAAUGAAACCUCAAUAGCUGCAUAAACAUUUGCCUCUCCGCUCUCAGGUAGUUUGCAGAGGACAGACGGUUUGCCGGUUUGAUCGCCGUCUUUGUUUGGCUUUAAGAAGAAGUUUAAUCUGUUUUUUGUCAGAGUGAUAAUGAGAGUUUCAUCAUGCAGAACACAAUUAGACUGUAAACGUCUGCACUUCUACGUGAAUGAAGUGGACAAUUUUGGGGGGUAACUAUAUUCUUUUCCUCGUUCCUCUUUCCCCCUGUGGCAGCUGUUGAGUUAUAGAGGAGAGUGCUUCUCAUCAGUGAACAAAACUGACAUGGGUAAUGAGUUUCCUCAUUUUCUCUUGGUGCAGUUCUAUUUCAGCGAUGUAGGCGCUGUUGGCAAAGUCAUUAAGGUUGAACCCGGGCCGCCGUCUGCUGGUAUUUUCUGCUCCACUUUCAGUAGAAUCAGACUUCACAUGAUUUUUCUUUACAGAUAGAAAUGUUAAAGAUGUUGUAAAUAAAGGUUUGGACAGCAGUUUGGGUGCAAAUUUAGCCGUAUCGUGUUAAAAAUGGAAACUAACAUCUUAAUUCCACAAAUAAAGCAUAAAGUCACCUGUUUAGACCAGUGGUCCCCAACUUUCUUUUGUACCAGUUUUUAUUAGUCACUUUUAUUUCACUCUUAUUACACGAUAACAUCAACUCACCAUAAUGCAGAAUCAACCCUUUCUCUCUUCGGUGAACUCUGUUUCUGGAUCAUUUUUGCGAGGGUUCGCUUGUGUUGCUGAUGCAGAAAAAUGGCGAUGGCGGAAGUGGUGGUCUUUCAAAAUAAGCAGAAAAAAUAUAUAAAUUUUAAUCACGAUUUUUAUAUUUUUGCAGCCCGGUACUAAAUGAUCCAUGGAUUUUCAUGGCCUGAAAACAACAGUAAAAAUAUGAUAUGUCCACGUCAUUAACUCUUUAUCGGAGACCCUCAAAGUGCUUUACAUUGGAUACAUCAUUCAUUCACUCACACAGUCACACCCUGGUGGUGGUAAACUACCUUAGUAGUCACAGACUGGCAGAAACAUGGCUGCCAGUUUGCGCGGGAACCAACACAUGGGCAUCGGUCAAGAUGACGUCCUACACUAACAUACGUGGACAUACUCAAGAAGGAUGCUCAGAGUACCAACGAACUGGCGAGAUGUAUGGAGAAUCGAGUUGACUGGAAGCGACGAUGGAAGGCUCGUCUGAGGACGACCUAGAGAUAAAGUCAACUCACCAGUGCACAGAAGAUAAUAAAAAAAGCAGAGUAGUCAAACACUUUUUCUUCUGUUUGAAUGUCCUCGCUGAGUAAUAUCUGUGACCUUAAGGAUCCAGAUACCCCAAAAGAAAAAGCUCUACUUUAUCCAGACUUAAAAAUUCACCAUGUUGCGAAUCAAUGAGUUCUUCCCCUCAGUCUUGGUCUUGGUCUGGGUCUUGGCAUUAUCACAAAAAAUCUUGGACUGCUUGAGCCCCGGCUGCAAUAAUUCAGUAAUAUGUUGACUGAAAACAACCUGAGUGCCUUUCAGGCUGUUUCUUAAAUAAAACACAGAAACUUGAGGCACACUGAGUUUCUGCAAGAAGCUAAUUAUCGAAGUGCUAGUGGGGCAGUGUUAGCAUUCACACAUGGAAACAUUCAUCUCUCGCUGCAGAGGUGGUGACCCGCCUUUUUAUUAAUUGGUGGCAGCAGGAUUUCAUUGGAGGAGUCUCAAAUCUCGAGGGGAAGCGACUGUGAGCAGACUCAAUAGACUAUUUAUGGUUUAAUAUGGUGAUGAAAAGAAGAGAUUUAUGAAUAAAAUAGGCAGAAGAAAAAGAUCUGGUCAAAUGAUGAAGGACAAAACAUCACAAACAGAAGAAAAGACGCUCCAAGUUCAAAGAGAAGGGAGAUGAUUCAUUCACUGGGCUGAAGUAGCCUCCCCUGAAGACUUGUUUUCUUCAGCACACAGGGUUAAGAAAACUCUAACUUUGAAUUUAAUAACGCCAAACACAGACUGAGGCAACACAAGGUGCAAAUCUUAAGUCUUUGUGGCGUCCAUCUUGGAUCAAAGAGAAAUACAAAUAAAACAGCAUUUUUAAGACGGACUGGUGCGGAGCUCGAACCUCAAGACUGGAUAAUCCCUGAGUGAAUGUUUGGACACGUUCGAGAUUCACAUAAAAGGUUUUUUUUCAUCAAAGGUAUAUAAGUUUCAUUAUAAAAGAAAAAGGUGAAAUAAUUCAAUUAAAUACAUGCAAAUGAAAAUGUCUGUCUCACUUUCCUACUUUAAACUUUUUAAUGAAACAAGUGAAAGGCUGUUUACAGAAAAGUGAGGUAUGUAAUUCUCCAAAUGUGAAGAAAAUUUGAUAUUUUUCAUAAGGCGCACAGUCUAAAAUGUUGAAGGCUUAAUUACUGUAAUCAAAGUGUCUGAACAACACAAGCAUCAUUCAUUAUUUCUUCAUUCUCAAGUAAAGCAGCCAGCGCAUAAAAGCCAACCUGUCAUGUCUUUGUACGGCAGCGUAAAACGGCAGCUAUUAGCCCCAUCAUGUAAUGGGCUGAACCGGCGUCUUUAUACAGUGUAUUUAACUAUUAUUUAAGUGGUCUGAGAUGGAAACUUGAACCAUUACAGUACAGACAGAAGUAAGAACACAGAGGGAUUAAACACAGAGCUCAUAUUAGGUUUUAUGAUAUCAGAUUUUCACCUUAUGAUCGUCACGGCGAUGUUUUUUUGUAGAGUUCUGGGAAAACUUGAGAAAAAUAGUCAAAUUAUUUUAGAUUUGAUUUCCGCUACGUCUAGUUGAUGGUAAGAUUAAGCUCCUAAGAGUAACUUUUAUGCCUGUGUUGAGUCUGGCGCCCCCUGUGGACAAAGUGCAAAUAAAGUAUAAUGCAAAUUUGCACCAAAGAGGAACUUUUACAUCUGUGUUAAUUCUAGAGCCCGCUCCGACAAAGUGCAAAUGGCAAAAAAUGCAAAAGUUGCGCCUAAGAGGAACUUUAACAUCUGUGUUGACUCUGGCGCCCCCUAUAGACAAAAUGCAAAUGACGAAAAACGCAAUAGUUGCGCCCAAGAGGAACUUUUACGUCUGUGUUGAUUCUUAACUAUCUAUUUAUGCCUUUUGUGCUUUUUUUGCCAGUAUGGAUGUAAAAUGGAUUUUAAGUUGUAUCCAUUAUGGUCUUAAUGUAAAAUUCUUAAAUUUGACUUGUUGAAAUCUGCAGAAACCCUGAACUAGAACCUCCCCCCAUUAGUCCAUCUUUGGUGUUGUCCCUCUUCAUGCGAGGCCACCUCACCGCCCUGCUGCUGUAAAUCAGUCCUCACUAUCUUUAAAAAGAAAGAGGACUUUUAGCUUUGAUUUUUCAUAGAGUACACAACUGGAAUAAAUGUACUAUUUCCAAGCAAGAAAAACAUCAAACAGGAGCAGAAGUAGGCCACAGGAUGUUUUCAAACUUCAGAUUUACAUGAUGAAAAUUUGACUAAAGCUGCGAUGAAGAGCUUAAUUCAGUUCAACAACAAAACAGAGAAAGUAUAAAUGAAAUCAUUGCGAGCUUUUUUGAUCUUUUUAACCUGAUUUUUCUCCUCUGGGACCCGUCAGAGCUAAAGUCAUACCCGGCACCUUGUUUUUAUUCCCAGACGAGCUGUAAGACAUCCAUGUUUCACUCCAGAGUUGAAUACAGGUAAGCUGAAGUCUGAGACAUUAAUUGAAUGUUGUUCUUUUUGGCUCCUGGACUCCAGAGGCUGCAGCAUUUUCCUGACACAGAAAAAGCCAACGUAUUCUCUGAGUGCUUCUGAUUUAUUUCACCACACAUAUAUCACAUACUUUAAGCUUUUAAACAGACUUUACUCUGAUUAGGAUCAAUCUGUCUCUACCUCGCUGUAAUCCAGCAGCCACACCUUCACACCACCGACACGUCAAAUCUGCUCAAGGUGUUAAAACUUUAAAUCUUGUUGUUCGCAGUCUGUCAGAGACUCGGUUUGAAUGUUAACCCGUGUCAACAUCAUCCUCCCGGCUUAUAGCAGGUGAUAUAAAAACUGUCAGAAAACAUCCGAGCUUAUUGUCAAAGGAAAGAGCAACAAGUGUGAGGGGGAAAUAUAGAGCAAGUUACAAACAGGAAACUUGAAUGACUGCAUCGAUUCACUGAAACUCAGGUUGUUUUGAUAGUGUUUGUGUCUGACAAUUUCUGUGGGGUACAGGCCAAGUAAGUAUCAGGACCAAAAAAAAAACAUUUGGUUUAGUUUUGGCACUGUGGGCAGGUGCUAAAUCCUGCUAAAAUAGGAUAUAAGCAGAAAGCUACAAAACUCGUCUGCUGAGAAAACCGUGAAGACUUUCAGAUAAAGAAAGGAUUUUAGACCAGGGUGGACAGCGGGUCGAAGACUGAGCUUAAUAACCGUCUGAUUGCUGGCAGAGUAGGAAUGAUGGGUUGAUUAAUGAUGUUAUAAAGAGCUACACAUCUGCACAAAAACUGCACAUUGCUGAACAUAUAAAAGUCUUCUGGCUGGAGCACAAGAACAUGUUUUCUUGUUUGCUUAAAUGUGUCUUUUGAUAUUUGAUAUUGUUCUGUGUUGGGUAGCUAUGGCUCCACCUGUUGGUCAGAAAAACUCUAACACAGGAAGUACAAUCAUAUAAGGAAAACCAGGAAGUGUGAACUCUAUAAAAGGAACAGGAAGUUGAGCAGACUACACAUGUGCCAGCUCCUGAAGAAGCCUGACUACAAACUGACUCGUGUCGCUUAUGAAAGCAUCAGCUGUGAGUUUUAUUAUGUGUGAUAGCAAAAUGGCUGGUUCUUGGUUGUUAAGCAGAAUAUGGUGUUAAAGCAUUUUUUUUUUUUUACUUGCUAGUUUAAGUAUUUAGCUUAUCUACGGUGACCAUACUUCCUCUUUUACCCGGACAUGUCCUCUUUUUGGGGGGCAGUUUUAGGUUUGGGUUGCAUGGACUUACUGAGUUAGAAGCACGUAAAAAACACUCGAUCUGACCCGAAAAACUCUCAAAAUUAGCUAUGCUCCGUGACUCCGCCCCCGUGUACUCGUAUCCUCUUUUUUGGGGAUUCAGAAUAUGGUUACCCUAGUUUAUCCUGGUGCUUAGCCUAGCAUGUAGCCCACAUCUUAGCUGAUUUGCUUACUGCAGUAUGAAGUUUGGUUUGCCAGUACCUUACUUUAGCUUAGCUUUUAGCAUUAGCACUUGAUGUAGCAGAAGGCUCACACCUAGCUCAAUUCAGCAUGUAGCUUAGCGCUUAGCAAUUAGCUUAGCUGCAAUGUUCCAUUUGUAUUACAAGUAAAUUUAGUGUUUUAUAUUAAAAGUUAAAAGUCUUAUAUGGUCUUUUUUUAAUCACUUUUACUUCUUUUAUGCUUUUGUGUUUUUAUUUCAUUUAUUUUAUUUCAUUUUAAAUGUUUUUGCCUGUUUUUAUUUCCUCUUGAUGUUUUGUGUUUGUUCUUUUAAUCUUACUGUGCAGCACUUUGGUAAACUUGAAUGUUUAUUUUUUUUAUGUGCUAUAUAAAUGAAGCGGAUUGGAUAGAAGUUGUUCACAGCACCUUGUUGAUCUGUGCUUUAUUAUUUCUCUUUGUUAUAGUUUUCACUCUGAAUUCAACCAGUGAUGAAUGAACAAGAUUAACUGAGACCUGACUGGAUCAUCAUUUGAAGUGGAGUUUGGCCGACUGUCAAACUGCGUAAUCACACACGCAGAGAGGACACAAAUAUCACAAGUGUAGAUAAAAGAGGAUCACAAUCCAGCUGCCCCUCAGGGAGCUGUGUUACACUUUAACUUCUUCUCAAUGUUGAGUAAUCGUUCACGAAUACAGCCAUAAUUUUAAAUCAGCUUCUCUCUGCAUUCUCAGAACAUCUAAUUCUAAUUAUUAUCACCUCAAAAAUGACUUUUAUUCAAAUGAAACACACUUACUCACUUUGGGGGAUAAGCCAAUUCCACCUGAUACGAGUGAGGGGAAAGACUGCUUCUCUUCUUUGACAGGAGAGAGGAAGAGAGAAAGAGAAAGGGCAUAUUAGGUGAGGAGGAAUUGGCAGCAGAGUACAGUACUUCUUCAACCUCUUUUUUAUUUUUUCAGAGGACGGGGGUGAGGAUGCUGCUGACCAGUGGAGUUCACUAAAUCGUUCCACAGCCGAGGGAGCACACACAGGAGAGGAGCGAGGGUUUAAACUCACUCACAGAGCUAUCAAUUUCUGUAAGAUCACAGCGAAGCAGAAGUUUCAUUACACUGGUGAUUAAUCCUAUUAACAGGAGACAUGUCUCUUUAAAAACUCCAUAUGUAGGAAUGAAAGCACCAUUAAAAACAAAUGGGAAAAGCAAAAGCAAAUAUUCUACAUAAUCCAGAGCAGCUGUUAUCAAUACCACCUCAGACAUCCUUUAGUCCCUCCAUCCCCCUGAUGUCUUAUAUCUACCAAAAUGGUAAUAAAUAAGUUGGCUCUGAUCUCGGGGUGUCUGAAGAAGAAGAACGCGUCUCAAAUUGAAACUAAAAGACUCCGUGCAGCUCCACAGUCAGCCUGGUCGUGUACAGCUGUUACAGGUCAACUCGCCCUCGCUCCGUAAUUCUCCCACGGGUCUUUAAGAGAGAGAAGCGAGCCGACCUGCAUCAUAUUGUACAUUUGCUUUCGAUGGCCUUGUGAGCACAAUGAGACACUUUUUUUCCUCUUAAACAGGUCGGUGAAAAUGAGAAAUGGAAAAGGAGAAGAAUGAGAAAAGAUGACGGACUGAAGUCGAAAUACUUCAGUCAGAAACGACUUUGGGGAGUGGUCAUGGUAAGAGUAGAACAACUGUUAUAUUUUAUUUUUAAUCUUAUUUAAUUAAAAUGUGUUUGCACAAAAUAUUAUGUAUUAACACUUUUUUUUUCAUGGUAAAUGUUUGACUACUGGAAGUUACACGCAUAAUGCAUCAUGAGAGGUUUUUGUCCUCAAAGGCCACCGUAUGCCACUCCAACCUAGAAUCUGACCACUAGAUAUUGCAGAAUAUUUAUGCUGCUUUCAGUUCCCUCGGAAGUUGUAUAUCGUAGCUGGAAAUGAUGUUACACCCGAGUUGAUGGCGUUCCAGUAAACAGUUGGAAAACCAAGAUGGACGCCUACUGUAAGCUGUUUACAACUAUCAGUUGUUAGCAGUUGCCAGUUGUUGUCAGCUGUCAUUAGCGGUUGUCAUCUUUGAUUAUGCUGUUAUCGUUAAGUUGGGAUUGGUGAGAAUUGUCCGACUUUCCGAGUUGGAAAUCUGACUUCAGGGGGGUAUUCCAGAUGAAUUUCUAACUUGGGGUUAUUGAGCUUUUUAUUGUCACCUGAUGCAAAAUUAAACACAAGGUUGUGCAAAAUAUGAUCUGCAAACACAAGGGUUAACAUUUUUGUCCUUUUUUUUUCAAUCACAUAAUCCAAAAUUUGCACACAAGCUUAUAGCUGCAUGCAAAAACAUCAAAAUGCAUCUCAUUUCUCAUUAGUCUUGUUUCAUGCUGCAUGCUUUGUUUGAGAUGCUAAUCCCCGUAAACUCCGACACUUUUAUAAAAAAAAAAAAAACAGAUUAAGAAGAUUUCAGAGAGGUGUACACUCUGUGCCAUCUUCUCUCCACUGUUAAUCAGUAAUUUGUCCAAUUUCACAGAUCUGUGGUCAGAUCUUCUCCAGGAAUCAGGCUCUUCCGCUCUGAAUCAUUUACUGUAGCGCUGGUGCAUGGAAGGGAGAGAGCUGCAGGCGGGGACGCUCGGAGAAAUCCAAUACUCCUGAAGCUCUUACUCUCUGCAGAGCCCGAUCCAAAUUGGGUGCCACGGUAACAAGGUGAGCCCAGACACAGAUAAUAAAACAAACUGGUUUUCACAGCGGUUAAAGCGGUUUGCCCUUGGUUCAUUUUGCAAGCAUGAGUAAGUGCUGCCUACUGGACACCAACAUCAAACCUCUCUCUUUAUAAACACUGAAUUUUAAGCUUUAUUUGCUGCAUUUCUCAUCAAAAUAAGAAGAAAUUCACGGCUGUAACAAGCUCGUUCACAGGUAGAAACCUCCUCCUCCUCCUCCUCCUCCUCUUCCUCAUUGUGCUCUGGUAAUAGUUGUCAGCUUUGUAAUCACACCGGCGUUUAAAUCUCACCAGGCAGCUCCACCUGCCGAGUAUUGACUUUAAAAAUAGCACACACACACACACACACUCUUGCUCUCCUGGGACCGUUACCGCUCAGGAAAUGGACUGUGUCUGUGGCUGUUAGUAAAGCACACAAGCAGCCGAUAGGAUGAGUAAGAGGAGCGAGUUCAAGCCGUGUGCACUUCACAUGUUAAGCCGAAAAAGAACAUAGAGCAUAUGGCCCUUGACUGUUUAAGCGGUGAACGGACAACUAAUGAACUGGCGCCGCCUGAAAGACUAUUCGGGGAUUUCUGGUGUUAAAAUUACGUUUCCUGCUUUGAAAAGGGAGAGAAGGCGAAUUAGAAAGCUGCAAAGUAUCUGUUUCAUAUUAUUUUUAACAUUAAAACGCCUGUUUUUCCUGCGCUGAAGGGAUUCAAGAACAAGUGCAAGAACAGAGUGUUUUACCUUUUAAGCAACACCACAGAAACCUCUUUAUUCCGACCCAAGCAGAGAGAACAACUCUGCAAUUAGCCACGGGUAAGGAGAAAUGGAUCUGCAAUCAGGUUAAGUGGCACCCUGUCAGACUCCCAACCAUUACUGGUCAUGAUAUUAUUACUUUAGAUUUUCCAGAGUGCUUAAGAAAAGCUGGCUGCAGAGUUAAAAGCUGCUUGGCCAGGUCUGUAUGAAAAGGUGAGAGUUGUUUUGCACAGGCUGUAAUCAGGCUCAUGUAAAAAAACAGCAACCUGAUCGGUGGCCCAGGUCUCCUGUGAGGAGUUGUUGACGUGGAUGAAAUAGACUGUGUGUUUUUUUUAAAGGAAAUCCAGAAGCAAAUGAAACCAUCAACCACAAGAUUGAAGAUUUUUAGGUUGGUGCCACGUCGGUGUCAGCUGAGCAGCUAAAGAAAGUAUGAUAGAGGGAACCGGUCUUAUUUUAGAGGCAAUCCAAAGCAAAGAUUCCUGUGUAUGGGAUCCAGAUGGGCCCCCAUUCAGACUGGAUCUCGUUAGAUAUGUUUACAUUGGCACAGAUAAUCGGAACAAAAGCGUCAUGUAAACAUGUCGAUUGGAAAGAAAUCAUGUUCUGUUCUGGAGGGGUGAUUUAUGCCGAUCUUUAUUCUGAAACACUUAUUCCGAUCAUGACCAUGAAAAUCUGAAUCUUCUGUUUACAUAAUCAAAUAAUCCGAUCACGACAUGCGAAUACAAUACACCAAGUUUUAUUCAAACACUACUGCGUUUGUUGGUUUGUUGACCGCACAGACUUUAACACAACUCUUCUUCUUCGAAAACCUUUAAAUUAGACAACUCUGCUCAUGUCCAAAUGUUUCUAAUCUGAAUAAAACUUGGUGUAUUGAAUACGCACGUCGUGAUCGGAUUAUUUGAUUAUAUAAACACAUGGAAACAUGGCAAGUGUGCCAGUUUAAGCGUAGAGUAGUAAAACUAGGACCUGAUCCAGGUCUAAGUCAGCUAUAACUGUAAGUUUAAGGAGCAGGUUUGGAAACAUCCUUUUUAAAAAGCUGUAAAGUUUAUUGGACUUGGUUCCUCCCUCCUCAGGAAAGGGGAGGCUUGACCUCUUAUACUUCUCUUGGGGACUUUAGGUACCGUAAGGCUGGCCUACAAAUUUGGAGUGUUUUGUUUGAGAAGUACUUAAGGAUUUUUUCCCCCUGGAUUUUACAUGACGCCAGUUUUGGGAUUACAUGGAUUACAUAUGCACUACACGCUGUAACCUUUGCUUAUCGAUGCUAACCACAGUGAGUUACUCUAGGAGACUAACCAGACAUUACAUUUGUAUUCUCAGAAAACAUGAUGUAAAGUUGUUGUCAUAUUUUGAAGUGCCACAGAGCAGACUUAAGUUAAGAGUGUCCGAGUGUUUGUUGGCAUUAAAAAAGGCACACCCAGCUCUAAAAAAUCAAUAAUUUCAGCAGGUGUUAUCACAUUCACCUGCUGUAAAAAAAAGUCUGCAAUCAUUCCAGUUUAUGUUGUGUGUCACUGCCGUAUUAAAGCUUGAAGGGAUGAGUGAGGGCUGCAGCGAGGUUCAGGCUGCAUGCUGAGUUACUCGGGCGUUUAAUGUUUAAUGCAUCUGUUUCCACUCCUGCAGUUUAUCGCCUGGAGCUGUAACAUCCAGGACCUUCUAAACUGCGGCGAGCCAUCGAGGAUUUAUGUGAAGAUCAAAAUUUGGCUUAUGGGACACGCUGUACUUCGACGUAUUCCUUUUUCCAAUCCUAAAAUAUCAUAAAAGCAGCGAUUGUGUGUACAGCAUUUCUUUAAAGACGGGUUUCUUUUAAUCUGUCUGUCCUUGUAUUUUCCUCUUUUAUGUUUUAAUCUCUUUUCUUUCUCUCCCGAUGUAAAUCAAUUUGUCUUGCCUGUGGUUUUAAAAGGCUUAGUCCUGAAAUACCCAUAUCUAUAUCCUCCAAAGACAAGAUCUGAGAGAUAAGGGUUUAGGUGCUCGGUUUUGGUCGGAGGUUUCAUGUCUGUGUUGAUUUCCUGCCAUUCCUAAAUAAAAGACAAAAAAAAGGGAGAAAAUGCUGUGAAUGGAUUUUAUUUUCUCUCCAUCGUCUUUUUUUUAUUCGUCUUGUUAGUGAUCGCAGCGUGACAGGAGAACAGCAACAAGUUGAGGAAAAAGAGAGUCGAUAUGAAAGACAAAUUCAGAAAUUCUCUCACCUGCUUCUGAGAUUCGAUCGCCGGAUUUAAGAAGUUACUUUGCAGCUUCAUGUUUAUGCAUGUUUUUUGUGCUUUUUUAUUCACUUACUGACUUUUUCACCCGGCAUCAUGCAAACCUGUUUCCUGCGUGAUACCAGAGCUGAGGCUGAGUUUGAUUCUUUAGCUUUAGAUCUGCAAAAAUGAGUUGUACCAGCGUCUAAACACGGUAUCAGGAUCAUGAAAUGUGGGACUUUUCCCCUCAGCUCCUCCUCUCCCCUCCGCCUCUGCUCUAGCAAGCCCCGCCCACAAACAGACGCUCCUGCUCGCUCGUAUCGUUCCGAUUAAAUUCAGAUAUAAUGCAGAUAAAUACUUCAGAUCAUUACAAAUGGGGCCCAGUCAAGGUGAAAGUCAAAAGCAUUGGUGCUCCUGUAGAUGCCAACAGACUACCAGCAAACACAAUGUUUGCAGGACUUCUACAACGAGGAUAAAGUGACAUAGUCCAGGACCCGAGGGAGGACAGUUUAGCGAUGGCGCUACAACACGCUACAGCAGGUCCGUUUGACAAGAAACACUUCUGUUACAGACACUUGUCUUACUUUGUUAAAGCGGUUUACCUGUCCAGCAGAAAGGUUACAGGGUCACCAAGAUCCCCAAGCGUCCCCCAUCGUUUAUGUUGACCCGGCUUUUUAGCUCUUGUCCGGUCUACCUCCGUUUUAAGCGCCCGUUAUUCCUCCAGAGUCUCCGGUAUUUACUUUGUUUUCUUGCUUGUGUCGGCAGUCGUGGCCAAAGGAG
rnacentral:lncRNA from 1 species